AUAGAUAAUAUAUUUUUCAUCAUUAAAAACACUUCUCAAUUAUUACAUUGUUAAAACAAGGAACAAGAAAGAAACUACAAUGAAGGUAGUAUAUGAGAUAAUGUCGUAAGACUCAAUUCACUUGUGUACAUUCUAGUUUAACCACACCAACUUUCUUUCUGUAUAAUUAAUAUUUCAUACUUUAAAAGUCAACUCUUUUUUGUCCCUUCUUUUCUCAAAUUCCUUAAACUAAAAGUUAAAACAUUUCUUCACUCUUAUAGACUGAGAGUAAUUAGCCAGAAGUAAAAUCAAUAGGGGUUGAUUUGAUUUGUCAAUGUUCAAGCUGGAUGCUUUAGAUAAUUGAUUUUUUAGCAGCUUACCUACCUCAGGGGGGAUUUGAAGCAAACAGGAUAUUUUACCUAUCUGUGCCGCAAGAAGCACUUCUGGAUGUUGCAUCCACUCUUGCCAUCUGUGCCCAAACCCAGAAGGGCUGGAACCGUAUAAUAAUUGAGAAACCUUUUGGGUUUGAUGCACUGUCUUCUCAUUGGCUGACAAAAGCUCUUCUUUCCAAGUUCCAGGAGAAGCAACUAUACAGGUGAAUAAUCACAUUAGCUAUACUAAUGUAUUUGUGCACACGCAUUCAGUUUUAACUUUCUUACUUCUUCAAUUUUUCAGGAUAGAUCAUCUUCUGGGGAGGAAUCUCAUUGAGAACCUUACAGUAUUAAGGUUCUCUAAUCUAAUUUUCGAGCCAUUAUGGAGCCGAACAUACAUCCGCAGUAUACAGGUAAUUUUGUUUUUUCUCUAAAUGCAAUGACAUUCACUUGUGCAGCUAAUGAUAGCCACUACCUGUUUGAAUUUUCAUGCAGGUCAUUUUGUCAGAAGAGAUGGGUGUGCAGUCUGGAAGGUACUAAAUACUAAUAAUUCAUUUUAUCUUCACUAACAAAGCCAAUUAUCUUAUCCUCAUGUCAUUCUACGGUAUCAAUAUCAUGUUGUGUAAUUUUUCGGUUAUAUGAGGUAUUUUGAUGGUUAUGGGAUCAUCCGAGACAUAGUGCACAGUCAUAUACUCCAAACCAUAGCAUUGCUUGCUAUGGAGCCCCCCAUAAGUCUCAAUGGUGAAGAUAUCCGGAAUGAAAAGGUACCUUCUGUUUUUGUGAGAUGAUCUAUUUUAUUCAAAAUCAAUUUGGUUAAUCUUUUGUGUGUAAUGCACAAGUAAGAAUAUAGUUGAUUCUAGCCUUGAGUAGGGGUGAUUUUGUAAACUUAUGUAUGGCACAAAUAGUCCUUUUUAUUCUCUUAGUGGACUGGUGGUCCAUUAUCAGUUUUAAAUCUUCUUUAUUACUACAUUCUUGAGUUUGUUAUUAAAAAAAAAAAAGGCACAAGCAAGAUUAGAAAGCACAGGUAAUCUAUUUCCACUGUCCUACGGCAGUGAAGUUGAGGAAUAUACUUGUUAAAUUGCUAACUUUUUGUAGAUGUCCCUAACUUCAUGUGUCUUAUUGAAUCUGGUGAAAGGUAUAAAGGCAUCAGUUUAUCAAGUUGCAGCUUAUGUGAAUGUGAUUGUAAAAACAAAAGAUGAGUUCAGAAAAUCCUUAGGAAGAAAGUUAAUAAUUCUUAUGAGAUGGAGCUCAGAUUCUUGUAUCCAUGUGAGCACAAUUUUAAUAGAACUUAGUGGUUUUUCAACCAAAAAGGUUGCGGGCCAGCAUGCAAUGAUUUUGCUUUUGCAGAGGCAAUUUUAUAUAGCCUAAUUCUUAUGAAAUCUUCGUAGAAGGUAUUAUAUUUGUUUUUAGGGGAAGGACAUCUAGUCCAACUUUCUCUGUAAAGUUUUUUAUACUAAUAAAUAUUCUGUUUCUAACCCCUACCUCCUCAAAAAGUGAAAAAUGAAUACAACAAAAAUUUGGUUGCAUGUGGUCAUGUUGAUAAGAAGCUUUAUUCAUUUCAGGUCAAAGUUUUGAGGUCAAUCCGCAGAUUGGAGCCAAGCAAUGUCAUUCUUGGCCAAUAUAAAGCUACUUCUGAUGACAAGGUUGAUGUUAAAUUGAACAGCCUGACCCCCACAUAUUUUGCUGCUGUAUUAUACAUUGACAAUUCACGUUGGGAUGGCAUGCCUUUUCUAAUAAAAGCUGGCAUGGGACUAAUUAAACACAGGUAAUAGCUAUUUCAGUUCUGCUGGUUUUGCCUUAAUAGACAUUGUCGUGGUUUGUACUUUGCCAGAUUAUGAUAGGAACCUAGAACACACCCUUAAAAAGCCGGCUUGUAAGGGAAGUGUAACCAUCAGCUUAUAUUUCCAUUUACGGCUUAUAAUAUUUCUAAAAAUAUUGAAUUAAGAAACAAAUUCAAGAGAGGAAAUUAUGACAUUAACCCGUCAGUCUGUCUUGUUUCAAUUCCAAGAACAGUACAAACAAGAAUUCUUCAAUGGAUUAGUGUGUAAUACCUGCAAUGGGUACCGCUGUCCAUUUUUUCCAGAUAGCCAUCACUUUGUAUCAUGCAUAAACAAUUAAAUUAUGCAUGUAACAUAACCAACUGUUGGUAUAAUUGAGUGAAAAUGAUUUUUUCUUUUUUUCUUUUUAAUUUGUAUAGCAAACUGUGGUUACAGAUUUUUGUGAUAAAGUGCAGCCAACAACUUAGAUAAGCAUAUCUUGUGUAGGUUUCAUCUUGUAAGUUGUUCCGACAAUUCAUGGGCAUCUCCUAGUCUUUGACGUUUUGAUUGUUCAUAUGGAUCUCAUUCCAUGACAACUCAAAAUAAAUAAUAAAUAAAUGCAUGGCUUAAACCAACAUUUUUUUUUUGGGCAAUAUGGGAUGUGCUCACCAACGUUAGCCAUAUAAUGCAGAGUGGAGAUACGCAUACAAUUUCGUCAUGUUCCGGGAAACAUCUAUCAUGAUCGUUUUGGGCAUAACAUCAACCUUGCCGCAAAUGAAUUAAUAUUACGUGAUGUGCCUGAUGAGGCCAUUCUAGUCAGAGUCAACAACAAAGUGCCAGGAUUAGGCUUGCAAUUGGAUGCUUCAGAGCUUAAUUUGCUCUAUAAGGAUAAGUAAGCACUUCAGCUUUUGGAACUUGUUCUGUUUUUGCUAUUCACUUGUCGUCACCUUUGAUAUCCUUCAUGUGCUUGCCUUUUGUGUUAAUACUGUAGGUAUAAUGCAGAGGUGCCUGAUUCAUACGAACAUCUUCUUCUUGAUGUUAUUGACGGCGACAACCAUCUCUUCAUGAGAAGCGAUGAGCUUACUGCUGCAUGGAAUAUUUUAAACCCAGUUUUACAAGAAAUAGACAAGAACAAUAUUGCACCAGAACUUUACGAGCUGGGUGGUAGAGGUCCCGUUGGAGCAUAUUAUCUUUGGGCGAAACACGGGGUUCAGUGGACCGAAGAUUAGAGGCAACACUUCUUAUAGGGUAAUCUUGCUAAUCUUUCCACAACUAAGACGAAUAAAUGGUAACUUUGUACAUGUAAAUUGUAUGAAAUUAGGGUUGAGAAAUGCCUAUCUGUAUUCAGAGGAUAAUUCUCAAGAGCAUAAACCCCUAAUUGAAAUUGGAUUUUUCUUGUAGAUGAUUUGGGUUAUGCUCGCAAACGAUGUGCUGAAAGCGUGCAUCGGAGUCAAAAAGUACCUUAAACUUCAUUUUGUAAUGAACAAAUGAUGGAUGGUUAUUUGCUUGUUUUAAUAUGAAGAUUUGUGUAUGGUUAUUUGUUAUGUGUGAUCAAAGAGUAAGCUUUUGCUAGAUUGUACAUAAAUUGUUGAUGAUGAUGGAUAUCCGUUGGUGGUUUUGGGUAAAUGUGUCUGAUACCUAGAUUCUCUUUGACUAUUAAGAAAGGGGAGGAUAUGAAAAAGAGAAGCUAUCGAAAUAGAUUUACACUAUCUUAUUGUAGUAGGUUAUUUUUUAAUAUUUGUCCUAGUACAGUACGACACUCAAAUUGUAGGAGACUUAUAGAGGUUCUUCUCAAGCAUGCUUUUUGGUGAGUGAAUUUGAUACCACUGAAGUGAAAUGCCUAUCUGUAUUCAGAGGAUAAUUCUCAAGAGCCUAAACGCCUUGCUGAAAUUAGGUUUUUCUUGUAAAGGUGAUUUGGGUUAUGCUCACAAACGAUGUGCUAAGAGUUGGUUCAAGGUCAUGGGCAGCAUGCGUGUGAGUCAAAAAGCACCUUAACUUUCAUUUUCUAAUGAACAAAUGAUGGAUGCCCGUUUGCUUGUUUUAAUAUUAAGAUGUGUGUCAGGUUAUUUUGCCAUCUGUGAUCAAAGAGUAAUCUUUUGCUAAAUUGUACAUAAAUUGUUGAUGGUGAUGGAUACCCUUUGGUGGUGGUUUUGAGAAAAUGCGUCUGAUCCGAGAUUCUCUUUGACUAUUAACAAAGGGGAGGAUACCACAAUACCCAACCGAGUUUGAAAGAUUGAUUCGAGAACAAAAAAAUUCUACCUGACACAUCGAAAUUCGAACGAAAGUUUAGCUAGCAACAAUAUGAGCCUGUUUGAUUCCCAAAUAAAAUCAAGUUAAUACAGUAAAGUGCAUUUUCAUUCUCAUCACUUCAAUUUCAAGCCUAAAAGCCAGUCAACAGACAAUAACUUGAGAUCACAAAUGCUGGGGAAAUUAAAAAAAACCACUGACCACUGACCAACACACAUUAAAGCAGAGCAAAUAACAAUGAAAAUUGCUUGAAUCGGUGCAAUUCACUAGAUUAAUCCAUAAUUUUUCUCAUUUCAUAAGUCAAUAAGCAUAAAACUUUUGUUGGAGGAAAAAAAAAUCUGCAUCACAAGAUUAAAGAUAAUUUGAAGAUUUGAAUUACUGAAAUACCAAUUCAAGAAAGCUGAACAUUGUUAACAGCUAUCUCAUAAUCAAUAGCCAUCACAUAAUCAACAUUAUCGUAUAAAAGAAAAGGAAAGAAAAAAAAUCCUAUCAUGUGACCUUUAAUAAAUAAAACCAUUUUACAUACUUAAAACCAAAUAAUGAAGGGAAAGAAACAAUUUAAAACAUAACCCACCAAAUAAUAAAAGACUUAAAAACAAUAGCCUCAACUCCUUAACUAUGUGGGACUUUUAACUUUUAAUCAGCAGAUCACAUAAGAGAAACGAAAGCUUAAGAUUUUUUUUUUUAAAAAAUAAACAGUUUAAUGCGUAGCUCACUAAAUAAUAGAAGACUUAAAACACAAAAGUCUUAUUAUAUAUAGAAGAAGACUUCAAUUUUUAAUGACAAGACAAUUAACUCAAUAGCAGAAAAGUCAGUUACAAUAAAGCGCAUCAUGGGAUCCCAAACAUAAUUUUCUUCCUUUAUUGAUAAAAAGUCAGUUGAUAUUACAAUUAAAUUACAGGUGGAAAAGAAAAAAUUGAAAUUACGAUAACACAAUCUAAUUUAGUUUACAAUUUUACAAAUUGAAAUCUAGUAUCAACUGGAAUCACUUGAUGAGUCUUCUUCAAAAAGUAAUCUGCUAUUAAUUAAGACACAAGGUAUAUGGGUAAUCAUGGGCCAAUAUUUUCCUUUAUCCUUUCUGCACCUUUUUUCCAUCAACGGGCAAUCAUCGAUAUCUAGUCGCAAAAGUGAUUUGGGCAGACCCUGCUUUGAAAAGUAUUUGAGCUUCGGACAAUUACUGAGAUCCAGAAUUUCUAAUGAAGUGAGGUUUUCACCAAUUGAGGAUAGGCUUUUCAGAUUUGGCAUAUCUGAAAUCCCCAGUUGGAUUAGAGAGGCAGGAAACCGCGGAGAUGACACCAGGUCUGGGCAUCCUCCUCUGAUUCGUAAUUCCCUGAGACAGGCGAAUCUGUCCAAUCCCCACUCGAACAAUGGCUUUGAUAUCUUCAGAUCAUCAACCACAAGUGAGUGGAGGUUGGUGGGAAAACCACCCUCUGGGAAUGAUACCACGCUACGACACCAUGUUAUUUCCAAACGUAGAAGAGAGGUGAGAUUGUGCAUGCAGUUGGGUAAGGCCUUCAGAUUCUCACAAUCGCAUAUCGUGAGCUCAGUCAGUUUCGAAGAAGGCAAUCCUUCUACGGGAAAUGACUCAAGAUUUGGACAAUGAGAUAUCGAAAUCUUUUGAAGAUGGUGGAGAUUAUGCAAACCGGCAGGUAAUGAUUUAAGAUUUUCAAGGUUGUAAAUAAAAAUUUCUUCAAGAGAUGUGUUGUCCAACCUUUCUGCUAACGACUCCAGCUUUGAACAGCGACUGACAUGAAGGCACUUAAGAGCCUGAGGUAAAUUUCCAUUCCGUGACAAGAAAGCAAGAUUCGAGCAAUAACGGACCUCAAGGUGCUCCAGCGUGGCAGGUAACUCGUUUUCUUAAGAAAAGGAUGUGAGGGAGGUGCAACCACUGGUGCUACCGCGGAUGCCCCUUGUCGAACUCAUUAAGUUACGAUAACUCCCAACAAUCAGCCGCUUCAAGCUCGGAGGUAGCUGGAUUCUAGCAAUGUAUCUCAAAGAAUCACAGUAAUCAAUGUUCAGACUUUCAAGAGAUGUACUGCUAUUUUGUAUCCAUGCCUCAGGUAAGGAUUCCAAAGCAUUGCAUCCUCCUAUUCCAAUUUUUCUCAACUGGGAUGGCAGAGCAACCUCUGGAAAUGAAAAAAGUGAAUUACAACUCCGAAUAUCCAAACUCUCAAGAGAUGAAUUGGAGUUGUGCAUCCAUGCCUCAGGUACGGAUUCCAAAGCAUUGCAAUCUUCAAUUUUAACUGUUCUCAACUGGGAAGGCAGAGCAACCUCUGGAAAUGAAACAAGGGAAGCGCAGCCAUGUAUCCGCAUCUCAGUAAGGGAACUAAGGGUGAGCAAUGCUUGUGGUAGCCUUGUAAGGCCUUCACAAUUACUCAAUUCCAAAAAUCGAACUCUGCACGGCAACUCUGGCUGUUGCUGGUCAUGUUCUUCCACUGUUACCAAGGAAAUCAGUUGGGGACAUCUUGAAAUCUGCAACCGAUUAAGGGAUCUAAUGUCUUGCGGCAACCGAGUUUCACUCCGCCAAAAAUAUGCCUGCUCUCGAACAUGUUGAAUCUCUAAACGUUCCAAUUUAGGUAGCCCUUGUCCAAACACUUCUUUUGCCAUAUCCCCUGAAUGCACUAAUUUCAAUGAGCUGAGGUCGAUUGGGCUGCUCAGCACCACGCCUUUACAUCCAUCGAUCUCUAAUUCACGGAGAGCAGGAAAACAUUGAAGUGUCACUAGCAACUGUUCACACCUAAAAAUGUUGAGCUUCUCUAAUAAAAGAAGACGUUCGGGCAAUGUUCCUUGAAGUUUAGAACAACUGCAAACAGAAAGCAUUUGCAGCUUAGGAAACACUUCAUCAACUUCUUGAGCAGAUCCAUGAGGAUUCCACUCUUCCCAUUCCUGCAUAUCCACAAAAGAAAGAGUCUCCAGUGAUGGAAAGGACACUGAGCAACUGCUUCCAUAAAAUUCCGAACCCACGCUCUUUACUCUACCCAUUCCACUUAUCACAAGAUCCUUUAGAAAUGGUAGUUGCCCUACUGAUGGCAAAGAUGUACACGUGCCACAAUUAUCAAAUUUAAGACGCAUCAAUUUUGAGAAUAAGGAAUCUCCUAACCAAAUUGGAAAUUUAGUACCACCGUAGCCUGUGAUAGUGAGCUCCUCCAGCUUUUGAUGAGGUUUUAGCAUGCCAAUCACUUGUGUUUCAGUUUUAGGCUCCACCGCAUCUCUAAAACUGUAGUGCGAUCCAAAAGUAUAGUACCGAACACCCCAUUGAAGAGAUAAAGCUUUAAGAUUCACCUUGCUGUUUAAUUGGACCUCACUAGCAUCGCCAAUACCUUUCACGUUCUCCAACCUCGAAAUUUCAAGUGUACCUUGAAGAUGCACCAAGGACUUCAACUCUCGUAACCCAGAACCACCGUCUUUUCCCACAACAAAACUACCCAACGUCAAGAGAGAAGUUAAUUUACCAAUUCCCUUCGGCAUUUCUUCCAAUGACCCAACAUUAGAAUUGUUCAGAUGAUGCAACUUCGUCAGGCACAACUUCUUAAGCUGGCGACAAUCUUCCAAUAAAAGUGUAUGCAAGUUGUACAGUGUGUUAAUUGAUUCAGGCAAAAUUUCAAUUUUAGUUGUAGAUAAGUCAAGAAACCGUAAAUGCUUCAAAUUUUCAAUUGCCUUCGGUAGCUCGAAGAUGUUAUACCCACGCAAAGAAAAUACCCUUAAGCGCGGGAGAUUCAACAGCCGCUAAAGAACACUCCAAGCCAAAUAACGACGAGGCCGGAAAUCGGAUAAGUUUAUUGGUAAAAAGGUUCGCAAUUGUCGUACGUUGCAGAUGGAGUCUAACCUAUUGUCGCCAUCAUAUACUCCCUGAAUGUAUGAAAAAUGACGGAGCCCUUUAGAAAACUUUUGUCGGUUUUCACCUUCUGGGGUAUCCUCCAUUCUGAAGCAUGUCUCCCCGGAAGCCCACCGAGCAAGGUCAUUAAUGAGGUCGUGCAUCACAAAUUGAGAUGCAUCUUCACUUGGCUGUUGAAAUAAGGACCUUGAAUGUAACUCCCGAACGAACUCGCGGCCCAAAUCUUCCAUUUUCCUUCCAUUGUAUUCUUGAUCCAAGAAACCUUCAGCCGUCCACAAUAGAAUCAUCUCCUCUUCUUGAAAUUCAUAAUCUUUGGGAAACAAUGAGCAGUAUGCGAAGCACCGUUUCAACUGUGGAGGAAGAAAAUGGUAGCUCACUUUUAGGGCCGGUAUAAUAUAGUUAAAAUAAAUGUGUCUGAGGUUGCUGCACAAUUGUUUGAUAAUAUACCUCAAUGAAGGCAUUGGCGGGAACUCAUGAAUCCCUUGAAUUAAACAAGCCAUUUGAUGUUUGAAUAUCAGUCGUUGGAUGGCUAGAAGCAUCAAAGGUCAGGAUUGGACGGUAAUCAAGCUGAAGGAGCAAGAUAUCACAGCUUGUUAAAGACAAGACUGAGCAACUGAAGACAAGAAGACAAACUGCAGUGUCAGGUUGUUAUAACAACUUUUGUAAUGUCUUGUGAUGAAAUUGAUAGCCGUUGAUGCUAGGACUUGAUGUAACUAAAACAUGAGAACCUAGUUCUAUAUAAAGCAUUGUAAUGCAAUGAAUCUACAGGCUGGAAAAAAUAAAAUCGAUUCUUCAUUUUUGCUUGUGAAUUGUGUGAAAACUACUAGCCUCCUUUUUUUGUCUUGGUAUCAGAGCUUUAAAAAUCCAGAAAUGGAUAAUCAAGCAACAAAUGAGCCAACCCCAGAAGCUGUGAUCAACAACACACCACCAGCUCAAACACAAAGUCCUUUACCCACCCAAACACAAACUGAAUCAUCAUCCUCACACACAAACAUGCAUGUACCCAUAAGUUUCUCCUUCACAGCCCCUGUGAAACUUGACAGAGGAAAUUACAUUAUAUGGAAAGCCCAGGUCUUGCUUGCUAUCCGUGGCAAUGGCCUGGAAAACUUCAUUGAUGGAACAUCUGUAUGUCCAGAAAAGUUAAUAGUGGAUGCUGAUGCAGAAAACAAUUUCAUAGCAUCUGCAAACCCUGCAUAUGCACUCUAGCGUAGAUAAGACCAACUUCUCUUAAGUUGGCUUCUUUUUACAAUAUCAGAGAAUAUUAUCACUGCUGUGACACAUUGCACAACUUCACAAGAACUGUGGUCUGUGCUGGAAAGGCUUUAUGCCUCCCAAUCAAUAGCCAGAUCCAUAGUUCUCAAGAUGCAGUUGCAUGGUGCAAGAAAAGACACAAACUAUCACUGAGUUUUGCACAAAAGUAAGAAACUUGGCAAAUGAGUUGCAAAUGGCAGGAAAGCCAGUUUCAGAAGAAGAUCUUUGCUCUCAUGUGCUUACUGGCCUUGGCCAAUCUUUUGAGUCUGUUGUUGUUAACCUCACUUCAAGACUUCAUGAACUGACCUUUGAUGAAAUGUAUUUUGUGUUGUUGAACCAUUAAGCCAGACUGGAGCAGAAUGCAACUCAUGACAACAAUUUUGAAGCAAAUAUGGCCUCAAGGCAAGGAAGGAACAACUGGACCCAAAAGAAGAAUGAGAGACCAAGGAACCAACCACCAAACCAGUACCUUAGUCCACAAAAUCAAUACUUUAGACCUCCUAACAAUGGUGAUGGAAGACCAAAUAAAGGAAAAGGAAGAGGGAGACCACAUGGAGCAAAGAAGACGGUAUUCAAGCCUGGAGUUUUUUGUCAAAUCUGCCACAAAGAGGGCCAUGCAGCUGAUGAGUGUUGGUACAGAAAAGAAGAUGACUUUGAACCAAAGCCUUAGAACUAUCAACCAAGAGGAGCCUUUCUGGCAACAAAUGAAGGAAGCAAUGAACCAGGCUGGUACUUAGACAGUGGAGCAACUAAUCAUAUCACAAAUGACCUCAACAACCUCAGUGUAAGGUCUGAGUACAAAGGUAACUCCUUUCUCUUAAUUGGAAAUGGACACAAACUUAAAAUCACACACACAGGAACGAUACAUUUGCCUAUAUAUGCUGGUAAAAAAUAUGAACAUCUUGUGCUUAAAAGGGUACUUGUAGUUCCAAAAAUAACCAAAAACCUAUUAAGUAUCUCUAGCCUUACAACAGAUAACAAACUAACAAUUGUAUUUUCUGAUGAAACUUGUGUUGUUAAGGACAAAUUGGAGAAUGUUCUUCUUCAAGGAAUUGAUAUAGGAGGGCUGUUUCAGAUUGUUGGAAGUCAAGAAUAUGUAAGUCCGAGGAAAGGAUGUGCUGCUGAUAGAGUCUACAAAUCAGAGUCUUUGUUUGCUUCAAUAAGUGAGGCUUCUGUCUCAAAAAGUGUUGAUGAGUCUUUAAGUCCUAAGCCUAGUAGUAAGUCAAUUAAUCAACUUGACAUGUUACACAGAAGGUUUGGCCACCCUUGUGAACAGACCCUUAUGAAAAUCAUUUCAAGUUGUAAAAAUUUAUCUGCUUUCAAUAAAGAAAAAUCUUUGAGUUUCUGCACUGCAUGCCAAUAUGGUAAAAUCACAAAUUGACUCUUAAAAGCUCACAAACACAGACAAAGCAGCCCUUUGAACUGAUCCAUGCAAAUCUUUGGGGUCGAGCACCUAUAAUUUUAGGAAAAGGUUACAGGUACUACUUAAGUAUUGUUGAUAAUCACACAAGAUACACAUGGAUUUACCCCUUAACCAGCAAAGCAGAAACAACACAAACCUUUAUUGACUUCAAGAAUCAAAUAGAGAAAACAUUAAAUAAACAGAUCAAGUGUUUACAGACUGAUAUGGGGGGAGAAUUUAGACCAUUAACCGAGUUUCUUAGGAACAAUGGAAUCAUGUUUCGACAUUCCUGUCCAUCUACGUCAAUACAAAAUGGUCAAGUUGAAAGGAAGCAUAGGCACAUUGUAGAAACAACACUCACCAUGCUAGCACAAGCAAACAUGCCCUUAAAACUGUGGUGGAACGCCUUUGAAACUGCUGCAUAUCUUAUCAAUAGAAUGCCUACGCAGGCCCUAGGUUAUAUCAGUCCAUACAAAAAACUUUACAACAAUGAGCCUGAUUAUGCCUUCCUAAAAACUUUUGGGUGUGCCUUUUUUCCAUAUUUAAGACCCUAUAAUCAACAUAAACUUCAGUACCAUACCACUAAAUGUGUGUUUAUAGGGUAUAGCUUACAGCACAAAGGAUACAAAUGUCUAGAUAGCACAGGCAGAGUUUAUGUAGCUAGACAUGUGAUUUUCAAUGAGAAUGAGUUUCCUUUUAUUAUAGAUAAGAACUUUGAGACUAACAAAAGUGAAAGCAUGACAAGUAGUCAACCUAACUAUCAGCAGCUUCUAUUACUUCCUUGUGGCACUUUCUUAACUCCACAAUCAAACAAUAAUCCAUACAAAACAUCCAAAGAGGGUGAACAUAACUCCACACAAGAUACAAUGCAAGCAUCAUUCGAAAAUCAAAUCAGAACACCAAACCAAGACCAGAUCCAAACACAUCAACCAAACAUAGAAACACAAUUGGAGAGAGUCAAUAUAGAACCUGAGCGACCAUUAGAACCAUUAAACACACACCCUAUGGUAACCAGAUCCAAACAUGGAAUCUACAAGCCUAAAAUAUACCUUGCACAAAUGAGUUCAUAUGAGUUACCAACAAAUAUAGCAAGUGCUAUCAGGAAAGUGAAAUGGAGAAAUGCUAUGUUGGAUGAAUACAAAGCUCUACUGGAAAACAACACUCGGGAAUUGGUGAAAGUUCAAGAGGGUACAAAGGUCAUCGGAAACAAAUGGGUCUACAAAGUAAAGCACAAUCCAGAUGGGACAGUAGCGAGACACAUGGCGAGAUUAGUGGCCAAAGGCUAUAACCAAACAGCAGGGGUUGAUUACACAAAAACCUUCAGUCUAGUGGCCAAGUCAUCCACAAUCAAGGUACUCUUGAGUUUGGCUGUCAACUAUGGUUGGGACAUCAAACAAGUAGAUGUCAACAAUGCCAUUUUGAAUGGAGAACUAAAUGAAACCGUGUUCAUGGAGCAACCAGAAACAAGCUCCAAGGGCUUGGUAUGAAAAGCUUAAAGCUGCCCUACUCAGCUGGGGAUACAAGAACUCAUUCUCGGAUACCUCACUGUUUCAUUGGAGGGAUAAUAGAGAAGUCAUAUACGUACUUGUGUAUGUAGAUGACAUACUCAUAACUGGAAGUAGCCAAGAUCUUGUCAAUGACCUGAUUAAAAAACUUAAUGAGAGUUUCGCGUUGAAGGAGCUAGGCUCAUUAAGUCAUUUUCUUGGAAUUGAAGUAAAAAGGGACCGUGCAGGGAUGCAUAUUUGCCAAAGCAAGUAUGUGCAAGAACUUCUAGAGAAGACAAACAUGAAAGGGUGCAGAGAAAGCAUAACCCCAUUAAGUUCAAGUGUGAAGUACACCUUGGAGACUGAAGAAGAAGAGAGAGGACAACUUUUUGAAGACAAAACUCUCUACAGAAGUGUCAUUGGAGCUUUGCAGUAUGCAACCAUCACCUGGCCAGACAUUGCUUACAGCGUCAAUAAACUAAGUCAAUUCAUGCAAGAACCGAAAGUGAUACACUGGCAAGGCUGCAAAAGGAUCUUGAGAUACCUUCAAGGCACCCUAAAUUAUGGUCUGUACUUCACACCUGGAAACAAAAUGGAAAUCUCAACCUUUACAGAUGCCGACUGGGGAGCUGAUAGAGAUGACAGAAAGUCUACAGGUGGUUAUUGCAUGUUUUUGGCAGGAAAUCUAGUCUCCUGGAGUUCAAAGAAGCAGAAGGUAGUAUCAACCUCCAGCACAGAAGAAGAAUAUAGAUCACUGUCAAAUGGAGCAGCUGAAUUGACUUGGUUACAAUCCUUACUUGCAGAGAUGAACAUCAAGUUGGAGAAGAGGCCAAUAAUAUGGUGUGACAACAAGAGUGCAAUAGCUCUUGCUGAAAAUCCAGUCUUUCAUGGAAGAACCAAACACAUUGAAAUAGAUGUUCACUUCGUGAGGAAUAAAAUCAGCAACCGAGAGUUUGAUUUGAAGUAUGUGGAAAGCAAGAACCAAGUUACAGAUAUAAUGACCAAGGCACUACCUAAUCGAAGUUUCGAAUACCUAAGAAGCAAGCUCAAUGUCUUAGCAGACGAUUGAGCAUGAGAGGGAGGAGUUAAAAUAAAUGUGUCUGAGGUUGCUGCACAAUUGUUUGAUAAUAUACCUCAAUGAAGGCAUUGGCGGGAACUCAUGAAUCCCUUGAAUUAAGCAAGCCAUCUGAUGUUUGAAUAUCAGUCGUUGGAUGGCUAGAAGCAUCAAAGGUCAGGAUUGGAUGGUAAUCAAGCUGAAGGAGCAAGAUAUCACAGCUUGUUAAAGACAAGACUGAGCAACUGAAGACAAGAAGACAAACUGCAGUGUCAGGUUAUUAUAACAACUUUUGUAAUGUCUUGUGAUGAAAUUGAUAGCCGUUGAUGCUAGGACUUGAUGUAACUAAAACAUGAAAACCUAGUUCUAUAUAAAGCAUUGUAAUGCAAUGAAUCUACAGGCUGGAAAAAAUAAAAUCGAUUCUUCAUUUUUGCUUGUGAAUUGUGUGAAAACUACUAGCUUCCUUUUUUUAUCUAAUAUCACAUCCGUCAUCCGCGAAAUCUCAUACUUCAGUAUUGAGCACAAUUUCCCAGUCUCUAGGACCAUCUUUGCCGCGUAAAAGACCGCCAAGUAUUUUUGCGGCCAACGGCAAUCCUUUGCAUUUCAUGGCUAUCUUCUGUCCGACUUCCUUCAAUGAUUGAUGCACGUUGAAAUCCCUAGCCCCCAGGGAGUGUUGAGUGAGCACACGCAAACAGUCGUCUUCUGAUAACACUCCCAGUGCAUAUUCUCGAACACUUCCCACCUUUAAUGCGACAUCGUGAUUGCGAGUGGUGACAAUAAUCUUACUUCCGGGUGUGCCAGCUUUAAACGGCCGGUUAAGAAACUCCCAAUCAUUGUAAUUGUCGUUCCACAAGUCAUCCAAAACAAACAAAAAUUUCUUUUUAAGCAGUUCCUUCUCCAGCUUCUCUUGAAGUGAAUUUAAAUCGUUAUCAUUAACAGUCACGUUAGAAAUGGACAUGGGCAUUGAUUUUGUUACCCUGAAAACAUCAAAAUCCUCAGAGACACAAGUCCACGCUUUGAUCUCAAAACGACGUCUCACUCGAUCAUCUUUAUAGACAAGCUGAGCGAGAGUUGUCUUCCCGACGCCGCCCAUUCCAAUUAUAGAAAUAACAGAGAAUCCAUCAUCAGCUCUUAAAUCAUCCCUCAACAACAAUUCAACAAUCUCCUCCUUCUCUUUUUGCCUGCCAUAUACCUCGGCUUCGUUCACCUAAGAUGUUGAGGGUAAUCUUUGUCUGACAUUUCUAGACUUCCCAUCUGAAAUUACAUUUUUCAGCUUCAACAGGCCUUUUUGCGUUGAAAUAAUACUCUGCAGCCGAGCAGUGACAUCUCUAUUUUCGACACCAUUUUGGAUUCAAACUGAAUAGAUCGAGGGCUAAAAUUGGUGCAGCAAGUAGGAAUGAACUUACGAAACUUACUCGUGCUAGUACUGGGUUGAUAAGCAGCAGCUGGUUCUUGAAGCAGCAACUCCCUCCGCAGAGCUUCAGUUUCGAGCUCAUCCAACACGUCUUCAGCAUCAUAAGCCAAGUUCUGAAGAUUGUCGAGCCAUUUCCUCACAGCCUUGUCCUUUGUCUGCCUAUCCUCAGCAUCAUCAAGCACUGCCUGAAUCAUCUCCAACAUUCCCUUCCACUUGAUGAAAUCAGCCUUCAACUUCGCAUGCCGUGUAAACAGUUCAAGUCCCUUUGAAGCCAGCUUUUUGAUCAGCAACUCAACUGACACACUAAGCACCGCCUCUCCGAUGAAUGACAUUUUUUUUUUUUUUGGGGGGUUUAAGUAAACAGAGUAAAUUAUGAAAAAUGAGGAAGAAAAAAUGUGCAGAAAUUGAACAAAGUCUAGUUUGUUGUUGUGAUUAGAGUGAGAGCAAGCAAGAGAAUGCAAUGUGUAAUGUAUGCCACAUAUGUCAAGAAAAACAAGUCUUUCCCAAUGCUAUCGAAUCUAAUUCUUUUUCUUUUUUUUCAAAAUUUUGGACAUUCUUUACUUAUUAAUCUCUUUAUUCUUUAAUUUCUAAGUGAUUCUUGCUACAGCUAUUAUUAUUAUUAUUAUUUCGUGAUUUGGGGUAUCUGCUUUUAUAAAAGCAUAUUGGUCUUCUUUAAUUCAAGUUUUUGCUUUAUCUUUAUUAAUUAGGCAUCUUACAAAGCUUUCACUCUAUCUCUAUCCACUAUACAAGUAAUGUAUUUGCCAAAAUUGUUAAAACAGAAUGACAUUAAUUUCUUCUCCAAAACUUAUCAUUUCUUUCGAAUAUAUGAAAACGUAGUGUUAUUGAUUCUCACACCGGUAAAACAUACACAACCCCAUAAACCGUUGAACUAAAAUGACAGAUUAUCCAAAUUAAUUCAAGGUCAAAGUGGAAAAGCGCUUUAUUAAUUGUUAUUAGAAGUAAUUAGAACAAAUAUUUCCACAAUAAGAGAGUAUCAUUGAGCCAUAGCUCUCUUUGCUCGAAAUCUUAUGUAAAUUAAAUUGCAGUAAAAAAUUAAUAUUAAAUAGUUGAACCACGUAAGAAAUAGAAACCAUAGAAAUUGUUUUGCUUCAACUUGAGUUUUGGAUUGCCCUAAAUUGAGAAGAUUCAUCUCCUUGAGCUCAUUGCAACACAACAUUCUUACAUUGAAAUGUAACAUCAUAUGAUUAAGCACAAAUUCAGUCAAAAAAAACUUAAUAUUAAUUUGUUUGCCGGUUAUUGAGAAUUAAGCACAAAUUCAUGAUCAUUGAAAAUAAAUUUCUAUUGAAGCAUGGGUAUAGUGAACAAAUAUCCACAGCAAUCCCAUUUUCAUGGCCUGUAGUAUAUUGUCUUACAAAAGUAUUGUUUUCUAAUUUUUUAAUGGGGAAAAGCCACCUACACUUCCAAAGUUAAUUUGUUUAAAUAGUCACGCAGACUCUCUUAAUUUUAUAAAUGGUCAGUUAACUAUUAUACCCUUCGAUUAUAGCAACCUAAUAAUUGAAUCUAAAUAAACUUUUUUAAUAAACAUAAAUAAAAAUAAAAAUAUUAUACCAUAUGAAAUAAGAUAAAAUUUAUAAAUUAUUUUAAAUAUUAUAAAAGUUUGUUUAACAUUAUUGAUAUGUCAUAUUCUUUUAAUAAUAAUAAAACAUAUUUGAUAAAUUAAUAAUGUUAAAAUAAUUAUGCCGAAAAUUCACAGUAAUUUACAACAUUUAUUUUAUUUUAUUUAUAAUACUUUUUAAUUAUGUCUAUAUUAGUAUAAAUUUUAAAGUCAAUUUUUGGAUUAGUAGAUUUUAGAAUUAAUAAAAUUCAUCGAGAUAGACUAUAAUAGCCUAAUAUUAAAAAUAAUUUUCAUUAUAUACAUUAUUUUAUUAAUUAUACUUAUUGUAAUAGUUUAUUUUGUAUCAUAUAAUAUUUAUUUAUUAUUUUUAUCUUAUUGCUAUAUUUAGUUUUAUUUGGGUUGUUAUAAUCAAAUGGGAUAGUACUAAAAGAAAGGGAUUUGUAUUAAUAUUUAAGCAAACCUUGAGGGCAUGGGUGACUUUUUCCCUUUCUAAUAUGAAAAGUAUACAUUGAGUAGAACUGGAAAAUAACAUUUUGCUUUAGUUUUUUGAAAAAAAAAGACACAUGUAUUUGAAAUUUGAAAAUUCAAUUUUUUUUUUAAUGCUGCGAUGGGAAUGAGAAAUCUCAGCCACUAAAUACCAAUCACUACCCUCUAUUUUUACUUCAAUUCAUGUGACCCGAGUGCAAAGUACAUUCAUGAACAGAUGAGUUGCGUCCUAGGGCUGAAUUCAAGUUUAAAAACCAGCAUUAAUAUGAAAAAAGAAUUUGAACUAUUGGACGAUCAACUAAAAUUAUUCUUCUACUUUAUUAAUACUAAAUAGUAAAGCUACUUUUUCAAUAUCUUUGUUUUUCUAUACAUUUUUUUCCUUUCUUUUUUUAUUGGCAAGUACUCUAGAAGACAUUCACGGUUUUCUCUAUUCAUAAAUAAUAAUAAUAAUAAUAAUAAUAAUAAUAAUAAUAAUAAUAAUGUAUGCUUUUAAACCCAUUUUGAUUCUCGCUAAAUACUAUUCUUACAAUUUUUUUCAUCAAAAUAUACUCAGGUGAAAAGUGCAUUCAUGGUUAGCUAAGCUAUCUCUUGGGACUAAAAAUUCAAGUUUAAAAACCAAUUCUAAGAUGAAAGAUGAAUCUGAAAUAUUUAAAAUUAACUAAAUUAUUCUUCUAUUUCACUAUCAAAUACUAAAUUGUUCUUUUUCCUUUUUUUCCUUUAAUAACAAGUACUCGUUGGCUGAUUUUCAGGUUGGACUCCCAGUAGUCUAGUGAAUAUAUCCUAUGGUGAAAAGAUAGAAGAAAUCAUAAGACAAGUUGGUGAAGAAUUAAAGGAGAUUUAUACUGUUUUCAACGAAACAAAACUUUGGAAACUUAACUAUUUACCAAGGUUUACAAUCUUUCCUUAUGAAAAUCACACUCUUGAAUGGAAUGAGUUUAUGUGACACAUUGUCUCAGUACGAUGAUUUUUUCUUAGGGAGUCUUAUGCGCACCAAAACUGUGCAAAAUGCAAGCUAAGUGACUAAAAAAUGUUGGAUUCUUAUUGGAUUUAGCACCAGACUUGAUUUGUGUGUUUCAAUUAUAGCUUAUUUGAUUAAUGUAUUUUCAGUUAUAGCUUAUUAAUUUGAUUAAGGUAAUUUGGGUUACUUCUGCAAAUGAAACUAAUUUGGAAAUUAAAGGUUGAUCAAUGAUCAUUAAUCUUGUCCAUUAAUUAAAUAUGCUUGGAAGGACUGUGGCAAAGCGUAAAUCAAGUCAUUAUUGAUCUUUCUUUUAUGAUGGCACUUUAGUUUCUCCAUUCUGCAAAAUUCUCUUUUUGUGAUUUUGGGCAUCUGUUUUUUAUUAAAGUAUGCAUUAGUCCUCAUUCAUUUAAGCUUUUGCUUUAUCUUUAUUAACUUUUGCCAUCUCUCAGAGGCUCAAAGUUUUUCCCUACUAAUUAAGCUCGGUCAAGAUUUUAUCUAUUCACUCACAGAGAUUGCAAAAUGUACAUUUCAAAAUUGUUAAAGCAGAAAUGAUAUUUUAUGUAAUAUAUGCAAACGUUUUCUAUGAGCAAUGAAUUUGCUUUCUUCAACUUUUAAAAUAUUUUUUCCGAUCCAUUUCUUGUAUCACUCUGCAUGCUUUAUUGAAGCUGUUUUGGCCUUGAUUUUGAAUUUCAAAAUCCUAAUUUAUUUAUUUAUUCAUCUUUACAAGUUCUGUUCUUCCAUAAAUUGAAAAAUAAGCUACUAAGCCACUUAGCUUUACCAUAUAUCCAUUCUAAGCAUAUUCUUUCCUCAUUCAUUCGAGUUUUUACUUUAUCGUUAUUAAUUAGGCAUCUUACAAAGCUUCUCGCCUAGUAAAUGAGCUCUGUCAAGAUUCUUCACACGAUAUAAGUAAUGUAUAUGCCAAAGUUGUUAAAGCAGAAAUGGCGUUUCUUCUCGAAAAAUUUAUUAUUUCUUUAGAAUAUAUGUAAAAGUUUUAUAAAAGCAAAUGCUUAAUUUCUUCAACUUUAAGAUAUUUUAUCCGAUCCAUUUAUUGUAUCACUCUUAAUAAUUUAUUGAAGCUUGUUUUGUCUUGAUUUUGAAUUUCAAAAUCUUAAUUUAUUGAUCAUUACAAGCUCUUUUCUUCCAUAAUUGAAGAAUAAGCUACGCCACUUAGCUUUACUAUAUAUCAAUUCUUUAUAUAUGCUCUAAAAUAAACCCUAAGAUAGGAUCAUGCAGUAAUACAAUUUAGAAAAUUGGAAUCUCAUGAUUUUCACACCAAUAAUACAUAUAACAAUAGUGUAUAUUUCUGUUUUCCUCAACAUAUCUCUAGUUCAAUUAUCAAUUUUUUAUGCGUUUACAACUAGAGUAAUGCUAAGAUCUUAAUAUUUGGAUCAUAAUUAAUGUGGUAUUCAUAUAUUCAUUGACUAAUAGAUAAAUAAUUUUACUAGUUAUAAAAUUUAUUGUCCAUAUGACGAAUAACAUGUAACAUUGGAACUCAAGUUCAGAUACUUAGCAUCAUAAUUACGAAAUACAUAUUUAUGUGUAAUUGCAAUUUUAUUUUGAAAUUGCAAUUACACAUAGACAGAAGCCUCAUAGCGGCACUACUAGUUAAAAUGAGCACAAUGUUACCAUCACAGGCAGCCCUAAGCACUACACAUAACUUCGCUCUGCACAUUAACUUCAUGCAUAUAAAAGGCAAUAGCAAUUACAUUACCCUGCAACAGAACAUCUUUGUCAUUGAUCUGUUAAUUAUUUUGCGUGUUUUUUAUUCGAUACGUACGUACGUGAGUGAUGCUGUAUCUAUCUGCAGGUUCUGUCAUUCUUAUGAUGCCCAAGCAUCGUUUCAGUAGGUUUCAUUGCUUCUAAAGCUAAAAAGCUUGCUCCGGCACCUAGUUGCAAAUGUAAAACACAAAGCAGUAAUGUUAAAGGAUCAAUUUUUGGGGCAUAACUUGUACUAUAUUCAUCAUCAAAAUUGUAUACAGAAGUACAGCAUACAUUUUAUUUGCCAAAGAAAUGCUCGGCAUAUACAAAUGACAAUAUACACUUUGCUUUUACAAUUCUUUAUGCUGAGUCAUCCUUAUCAUGAGUUAUCAGUUUCUAUUUAGUCAGUUGCCAUGUAAGGCUUGCUGUACAGAGUGCCGAUAUUGAGAAUCAGGCCGAGGCUGCUCAUAGAGGCAGUUCAUCGAAUAUCUAAUUCAUUCCAUCAAACACCAAACCUAUCCUGGCAUUUCAUCGAACACUUUUCCGAGCUUAAUUAACAUUUAGCCAUUGCAAACUGGGCCCACAACUGCCAGCUCAACUCUCCACAUCAGCAUAGUUGUAACUAACUCUACUCUCAUAGGAGGUAAGACAGAUUUGACUUACACCAAUAUUUCUUUUGCAAUAUGGGAUGUGCUCAUUUUUCAUCAGGAGGCCAUUCUAGUCAGAAGCAACACUUGUUACAUGGUAAUCAUCCUAAUAAUCUUUCCGCAACUAGGACAAAAAAAUGGUAACUUUGCGCAUGUAAAUUGUGUUAAAUUAGGGUCUUCAUUCUUUGUUUGCCGGUUUCCAUAAACCCUGCCUCCUUAAGUUGUGGGAUUUGGCAUUGGAACGGCUGAUAAUCAUGUGUUCAUUUUUAAUGACAGGUGCUUAAAUUCGGAAUUUUAUAUGCUUGACUUUUAGUAUCAGAUUCUGCCGUCAUGAAUCAGCAGCUUGGCUGGUGAUUAAAGAAGGCAGUCGCUGGGGAAAUUGAGUCUCCGAUUCUGGUGCCAAGUUUCAUGGCUACAGGGACUAGCUUUUAAUACAUUAUAUGCUGUUGGUUUAAAUAUACACCUAUGAUAGUUGAGGUCAUUGCUAAUUCAUUGCUUUAGACAGUAGAAACAACUCAUCACCCAGGCCACUGCCCAUGUGGCAAAGACGUAUUCGAGGUUUUAUGGGGACUUAUCAGGCCGUUUGAGCUAUGUCAGGAACUCUCGACUAUGUAAAAUUGCAUAGAUAUAGACUCCGCGACUCUUAGUGUACUCUAAUUAUCUUGACAUAAGACUUAGAACCGUGCAAGCUUAAGUACCGUUGCAGCUAGUAUCCACAUCACUGACGUCAGUAGGCCUUGGAAAUGCCUAUUUAUUUGGGAUCAGACUUCAGAGGGUAAUUCUCCAGCGCUUAGGCCUCCAAUUGAAUUAGGCUGUUCUUGUAAAGGCGGUUUGGGUUAUGUUCCCAAACGAUAUACUGAGACUCGGUUCAAGAUCAGGGGUACCUUAAAUUUCAUUUUUUUUAAUUGAACAAAUGAUGGAUGCCCAUUUACUUGUUUGAAAAAGAAAAUUUGUGUAUGGUUCUGUUGUGUGUGAUCUUUUGCAAGGUUGUGCAUGAAUUGUUGAUUAGUAUGGAUACCCCUCGGUGGUUUUAAGUAAAUGUGAUGGAUCCUAGAUUCUCUUUGUUGAUGUAUAAAUAUAUAUAUGACUCUUUGUUUGUUCCAUAAGUUAGUGAGUUUAAAAUAAGAGUGCUUAAUAUGGAAACUUGGGGUUUCUGGUUUACAUAUAUUUGCUUCCUGUCUUUGCCAUUUCCAUAUGCUAGUAUCGGUAGGAAUUGCACAAUGUUGUUGUUUCAAGACUUUUCACUUCAUUUUAGAAUGUGCCAUGCAAAAUGCUCUAGAAAUUGCAUAAUAGAUGAUAUGCUACAUUUUACAUUUCACAGCAGGUGUGACUUCUAAACCACGACGCCACAAUACCAAACAGAGAAAGAUUGAUUCGAGAACAAAAGAUUUUACCUAGCUAGAACAUAUAAGGUUAGCAACAAUAUAUGCCUGUCUGGUUACCAAAUGCAGUCAAGUUAACAGAGUAAAGAGCUUUUCAUUCUCAUCACUUCAAUUUCAAGGCAAAAAGCCAGUCAAUAGACAAUUAAGUCUCGUUUCAUUUUCUCAAAAUUUAUGCUCCCUCAAUUCUGUUACACCAGACAAAAAUAAACUUAAACCAUAUCUGAAAAGAGAAUACGGCCUGAGAUCACAAAUGCUGGGAAAUUUAAAAAAUGAAGGAAAAAAAUGGCCAAUGCAGAAUAAAGCAGAGCAAAUAUCAGAGUAAAAUAGAAUUUAUAUGCAAAUAUACCCUGCUAAACUUUCUGAGAAAUGCUUAAAUCCUUUCAAUCCACCAGUUUCAAUUAUCUCCAACCAAAUGGAUAACCAUAAAACCCUGCAACACAGGAUUAAAGAUAAUUUUAAGAUUUGAAUUACUAAAUAUUUCUCCUUUCAUAAGUCAAUAAGCAUAAAACCCCGCAACACAGGAUAAACUGUGUAAGCCUGGAGUAGUUAUAUUCUGUUAAAAAUGAGUGAGGUGGCGUGCUGAGCUGGCGUCAGUGGGGACCAUUUGCUGUUAAGGCUGGGAAAUUUUAACGGACAAUCAUGGAUAAUUAUAUUUUCUCGAUAGUAUUUGAGGUUCCGACAAAAAUAGAGAUCCAGAGUUUCCAGUGAAGUGAGGUUUUCACCAAUUGAAGAUAGGCAUUUCAGAUUUGGCAUAUAUGAAAUCCGCAGUACAGUUAAGAGUGGCAGGAAACCGUGGAGAUGACACCAGGUCUGGACAUCCUUCGCAGAUUUCCAAUCGUCUGAGAGAGGUGAAUCUGUUCAAUCCCCAUUCGAACAAUGGCUUACACAUCUUCAGAUCAUUAACCAUAAGUGGUUGAAGGUUGGUGGGAAAACCAUCCUCCGGAAAAGAUUUGGACAUCGUUCUAUCCGUAUCUCUUGAAGACGGUGGAGAUUAUGCAAACCACCAGGUAAUAAUUUAAGAUUUUCUAACCAUGAAAUAGUGAUUUCUUCGAGGGAUGUAUUGUCCAACCUUUUUGCUAACGACUCCAGCUUUGAACAAAAUCUGACACGAAGGCAUUUAAGAGCCUCAGGUAGAUUCCCAUUCCGUGACAAGAAAUCAAGAUUCAAGCAAUAACUGACCUCAAGGUGCUCCAGCGUGGCAGGUAACUCGAUUUCUGAAGAAGAGGGUGUGAGGGAGGUGCACCCGGUGCUGCUACUGAGGAUGUCCUGUUCCCCCGUCAAAGUCCUUAAAUUAUGACAGGUGUUAAUAAUCAGCCGCUUCAGGCUCGGAGCAAGCUGGCACGUACUGCUAUUUAAAUAUAUGUCAAAGAAUUACGGUUAUAAAUGUUCAGACUUUCAAGAGAUGUACUGCUAUUUUGCAUACAUGCCUCAGGUAAGGAUUUCAAAGCAUUGCGUCCUUUGAUAUCAGUUGUUCUCAACCGGGAAGGCAGAGCAGCCUCGGGAAAUGAAAUGAGUGAAGUGCAGUGAGGUGUCCGCAUCUCUGUCGUUGAUCAUGUACUGCUAUUAAUUUUAUGUAUGUAGUAAUGUAUAAUCUAAAUAAUUUACAUUGGUUUAUUUUAAUUAUAUAUGAUUAUCAUAAACUAAUUUAUUAUAAAUGUAAUUUUUGUAUUAGUUGUCUUUGAAAUUGAUUUUAAUUUUUGUUGAUAGUGGGAGGCUCGGUAAUGAAAUUUGUGUCUAUUGAUGGCUGAGUGAUUAAUGUUAUUCAAUUGAAGAAGAUAAAAUCUACAUAAAUUGAACGAAGUCUAGUUUAUGUGAAUAAUAGGCUUUACCAGGAAAUUGCACCAUUUAUGCCACGACAGUGGCUGAAUCCAUACUCUUACUAAUUCCAACAAUACGACAAUUCUUUCAAGAAAAAGUUGAAAAUGAUUCAGCAUAGCGACGACCAAAACAUGACCACGCAAACGUGUUUCCGCCACCCGGGAAGCAUGAGUAAUUUGCUUUGGUUAUCGAUCAUUUGAUUAUUACAUCAAAUAUUUUAUAAAUAAUCAAUGAAAUAUUUAUAUUAUUUUAUUUAUUUUAUUAGAAACAGCUUUAAGCAUAGGUAAAUUAGACAGUUAUUUAAGGGCGCACUAUAUUUUAGAUAGACCCCAUUUUUUAAUUAUUGCUUUAAUAAUAAUGUAAUUAAUAAAUAUUUUGAAUUAUAUACUAUAGGACAACCUAUUUUUUUAGAACUAUCUCUAAUUAAUAAUUAUCCUAUAACUAAGAUUUGAUUUUAUAAAAAUUUUAUAUUUGAUAAUAUUAAUGUAAAUAACUAUAAAAAUUUUGUCAUAAUUUUAUACCAAUUCUAAUUUAUUAUAUAUUUAACCAUUUAUUAGUUGUCUUCUCUACUAAAAAUUUUGUCAUAAUGUUUAAGUCAUUGAUCAAAAAAAAAAAAAAAUAGUGUUUAAUGAUAUCAAUCCAUCAAAGGUUGCAAUACAUGAAAUUAUCCACAAUUUGAUUACAUGAAAUCAAUGUCGUAAAAUAUAUGUCAAAUAUUUAAUUAUGAAUAUAUAUAUAUACACACUUAUAAUCUGAUUCCCGCAAGUAGAGUAAAGAGACUAUUUUCAUUGACCUACACCAAUAAUACAAAUUAUCAAGUCAGUCAACCACAAGUUCAUUUCAUCUCUUUAAAAUAGUAUGAACAAAAAUAAUCUAAUGGCCAUGCCUAGUUCAAUCUAGCGGACAUGACUCCCAGAACUUUACAAAGGACAAUUUACACUUGUGUUAUUCCAUACUUUAUGCUUAAUCAUCCUUAUCAUCACUCAUCAAUUUUUGCUGAACAAAUGGAUAAAUUUAUGAAGAAUGGUUGUCAGCAAAUGAUUAAUGGAAAACUAAUCAUACUGAUUAACAAAUGAUUAUGAUAUGGAUGUAUCAUGAUGGAUUUUAUAAAUAAAACAAAAGAAUUCGUCAUAUUUUUUUUUUAAGGAUUUGCAAUUUAUGAAUGCAAAUGGGUUUCUGGAAACUAGUUGUGAUAGAGUUUGAUUUGGGCACGAAGUUGGAAUCGUUAGUAAUCACGGAUCAACAUGCCGUGUUGAAUGUGUACCGGGGCCCUGUACACACUGCCCGUUACAUCCUGAGAAUUUGGGCCUUCGACAAGAACAAAUAAACAAUACAAAAGCUCAUUUUUUAGUACGAUAGUUUAUCUAAUAAUUAUAAUUAUUUAAUUACAUAACUUUUUUUAAUUUUUUUUUGUUGGACUUUUUUUGGUGGAGUUUUAGAGAUUAAAUAAGUUUUUUUGUCUUUAAUUACUAGUAAAAACUCAAAAUUUGGACUUUUAAAAUUACAGUUGAAAUACAUUUAAAAAAAAUUAAAAUAUCAAAAAUAUCAUUUACUUAUUUUAUUUCUUUUAUAAUAUAAUUAUAAAAAACUUGUCUAUUAAAUUACUUUUACAAUUUUUAAUAAAAACACUGAUAGAAUCGAAAUAAUUAAAAUUUUUAUAGUAAAAAUUCUGUUUAUGAUAGCUCUACUAAUAAAAAAUUAUAUUUAAAUAAGCUCAAUUGUUAAAAACUAUAAGAAAUGGAGUGCUAACACUGUAUAAAAAAAUGAAAUAAAAAAAUCCUUCUUGUUAUGAGAUUUUUAUCUCCAUAACUUCAUCACAACAAAAUUCAUGAGUGCUCCAACUGUCAUGCAAUGUCCCAUGCUCUUAAGUCUUAAGUUUCGCGUCUUGCUACUUCUCCAUUGUAUUAAUAUAUAUAAAAAAACAAAAAAAAAAUGGUUUGACACUUUGAGCUGGAUCUCCCAGGAAUCUAAAAUAAAUUAAAUUGAGUAAUGCUAUGCUUAUCAGUUGUAGAAGUUUAAGGGUUAGAAUUUUGAAAUUGUGAGAAUUAUAAUUUUUUAUUAAUUUAAUUUAUAUUUAGUAGAUUAAUUCAUUUUUAAUUUAUUAAAUUGGUAAAAUACAAUGAAUUUUUAAUUGAUUAAAAUGUAUGUUUAUCGAAUUGCAUAUACACUUUAUAAAUUGAUAAAUUAUUAAUAUAUCGAUUAAUUAAUAUUUCUUUUAAAUUAAUAAUUUUUAUAUGAUAGAAAAUUAUUAUUUUAUAAAAAAUUUACUGUACUUCAAAUUCUUUUUCACCAAACUAAACUAUUAACCUUUAGAUAGAAAAAGCCAUUUUUACUACAACAGUAUGCAAGGAAGUGAAGCAUCUGCACGGCACAGCCUUUUGGGCGCCGUUGAUUUUACAUAAUAAAACGAAGUCAGCUUUCAUCAUCCACCGUCCAAACCCACAUUAACUUCAAUCACUUCCCUUAACUGAUCAUUCUUCUUCAUGUUAUUUCUUAAUUUCUAUAAUUAUCAAAAACCUUAAACACUUGAAGUAGCUGAAUAGAGAAACGGAGGAUGUCAAUGUCGUUUUCACCAUUCCCGGUUAGUUUUUAAUACAUGGGAUUGUCUAUUUAUUUCUUUAUUUUUGUUUUUGAUUGAAAAUUUUUUUGUAUGUUUGAUGAAUUGUGUUGAAAUGGUAUAUGGGUUGUUUGGUUUCCUGCAAAUGAUAAUAGGGAACUAUAAUUUUGUAGAGGAUCUUAAAGGACCGUACUACCCGAAAUUAAUAGUGUACUCGAUUUUCAAUCUGGUAUGAUUCUUAUAUGCUGAAAAUAGAAGAUCUUAACUAAAUGCAUUUAAUUGGGAUUCUUCAGCAAUUAAAAUUGGUUUUCCUUUCUUCCAAUGAGUUUGUGUCCAAUUACAUAUCGAAAGCACCUCAGGAAUGCUAUUGUUAUAUGCAUUGACAUUUUCACUUUGGUUACUGUUGUUGGAUAAUUUGUUGGAUAACAGCUGUUGCAUCUUUGGCGUGAUAGAGGCUUACAAAUGGGGAGUACAACCAGUUUUGCUAAGUUUCUAGUAUAAUAGAGUCAUACGUUAGUUAUGCGUAUGUACAAUUUUCUUGUUUUUGUUGUAUAUAGGUGGCAGGAAAAAAUGUUCACACAGUAACUGGUGAUCGUUUUGUGAUCUAUGGAGGUUCUGCCACUGUAUGCUGAAGGUUUUGAGGCUUAAAGCUAUGGUUACUUGAAAGACUGAUCCUUAAGCAUUGCAAUAAAAAGCAUGGACUACUGAGUGAGUCUAAGAUUUUAAAGAAUCAAGACAAGGAUCAGUUUGAUAUUCAUCUAGAAACUAGUUCAUCAAAUGAUGGACGAGAGUCUGAAGGAGUUUCGACAUUAUCUAAACCUAAUGGUCAGUAAAGACUAUUUUAAGUUAACCUCUUUAUUAUAAUAAGUUGUUAUGUCUAUCAAUGUGAAUUUAUAUUGGCAUAAUUAUUUUCUCAUAAUUUGCAAUUGAAAACUUAAAAUCUCUAGAUUGUUGAACUGACAGUUCUGUUGGAGAAACGAAAAGAGACAUGCAAGCAUAAAUUUGCCUAAUUUUUUGUGUGUAAUGUGCAAGCAAGAUCAUAACUGAUUCUAGCCUUGCGUACGGUUGAUUGGGUAUACUUUGGUAUGGCACAAAUAGUCCUCUUUUUUUUUUUUAUUCUUCUUCUCCUAAUGAUAGCUGGUCCACUAUCUGAUUUUAAUCUUCUUUACCAAUACAUUUAUGGGUUUCUUACCCAAAAAAAGAAAUGUGAAAGCAAGAUUAGAAAGCAGUGGUAAUCAAUUUCUAAUACGGCAGUGAAGUUAAGGAAUAUACUUGUUAAAAUUGCUAACCUUUUGCGAAUGUCCCUAACUUCGUGUGUCUUAUUGAAUCUGCAGAAAGCUAGAAAGGCAUCAAUUUUAUCAAGUUGUAGGUUUAUCAACUAUUUUGCAGGUUAUGUGAAUGUGAUUGUAAAAACAAAAGAUGAGUUUUGAAAAUCCUUAGGAAGAAUAUAUUUAUUUCUUAUGAGGUAAAUCUCAAAUUCUUCUAUCCUUGUGAGCACCAUUUUGAUAGAACUCCACAGUUUUUUGACCAAAAAGGUUGUGGGGCAGCAUGCGAAUGAUUUUGCUUUUGCAGAGGCUAUUUUGUAUUGCCUAAUUCUUAUGAAAGUUCUGUAGAAGGUUUUAUAUUUGUUUUGCGAGGAAGGACAUCUAGUCCACCUUUCUCUGUAAAGCCUUUUAUACUAACAAAUAUUCUGUUUCUAACCCCUGCCUCCGCGACAGUAAAAAAAUGAAGACAGCAAAAUUUGAUUGCAUGCGGUCAUGUCGAUAAGAAGCUCAUUCAUUUCAGGUCAAAGUCUGGAGAUGAAUUUGCAGAUUGGAACCAAGCAAUGCCAUUCUUGGCCAAUAUAAAGCUACCUCUGGAGACAACGUUGAUGUUAAAUUGAACAGUCUGCCCCCUCUGUAUUUUGAUGUCGUAUUACACAUUGACAAUGCAAGUUGGGAUGGUGUGCCUUUUCUCAUAAAAGCUGGCACAGGACUAAUCAGACACAGGUAAUAGCUAUUUCAGUUUUGAUGUUUAUUUUCAUCAAAGAUAGAUAUUGUCGUUGUUUGUACAUUACUAGAUUAUGGUAGGAACCUAGAACACACACUUAUAAAUCCGGGUUGUAAGGGAAGGGUAACCAUUAGCUUAUAUUCCCAUUUAGAUUUACGGCUUACAAAAUUUGUAAAAUCAUAAAAUUAAGAAACAAAUUAUUAUCAUUGACGUAGUCUACUUCAAUUUUUUCACGACAUUCCAGUUCAAUAUCUAUGUGUGUGUUAUCUCCUAUCUCAUAAUUCACAUAGCCUAGUUCAAUGCUUCAUAACUUCUGUAAUUGUUGUCUUCACUUCACUGAUCAAGAUAAUGCACUAACUAUGGAAGUGGAAAGGUUGUAGUCUUGUAUAAUGAAAUGCCCAUUUUAUUAAUGAUUGAACAAUCUUUUAUUUCUCAAACACUUGUGAUUCAGAGAUUUUUGUAUAAAGAGCUAAAACUAAUGAUUACCGUCUCUAAGAGUAAAGACAGAGUUGGCUUAAACCAACAUUUCUUUUGCAAUACAGGAUGUGCUCACCAACGUUAGCCAUAUAAUUAUAGAGUGAAGAUACGUACAGUUUCUUCAUGUUCUAGGGAACAUCUAUAAUGAACGAUUUGGGCAUAACAUCGAUCUUGCCACAAAUGAACUAAUAUUACGCAAUGUGCCUGAUGACGCCAUUCUAGUUAGAGUCAACAAUAAAGUUCCAGGAUUAGGCUUGCAAUUGGAUGCUUCGGAGCUUAAUUUGGUCUAUAAGGAUAAGUAAGCACUUUAGUUUAUGGAACUUCUUCUGUGUCUACUAUUGACUUGUUGUCACCUUUGAUGUCCUUCAUGUGCUUGUCUUUGGUGUUGGUACUGUAGGUAUAAUGUGGAGGUGCCUGAUUCAUACGAGCAUCUUCUUCUUGAUGUUAUCGACGGCGACAACCAUCUCUUCAUGAGAAGCGAUGAGCUUACUGCUGCAUGGAAUAUUUUAAACCCCGUUUUAUAGGAAAUAGACAAGAACAAUAUUGCACCAGAACUAUACGAGCUGGGUGGUAGAGGUCCCGUUGGAGUGUAUUAUCUUUGGCUGAAACAUGGGGUUCAUUAGACUGAAGAUUAGAAGCAACACUUGUUAUAGGGUAAUGUUGCCAAUCUUUCCACAACUAAGACAAAUACAUGGUAGCUUUGUACAUGUAAAUUGUGUGAAAUUAGGCUUGAGAAAUGCCAAUCCGGAUUCAGAGGGUAAUUGUCAAUAGCAUAAACCCCUUAUUGAAAUUGGAUUUUUCUUGUAGGUGAUUUGGGUCAUGCUAAAAAACGAUGUGCUGAGACUUAGUUUGAGAUAACGGGUAGCAUGCAUCUGAGUCAAAAAGUACCUUAAAUUUCAUUUUCUAAUGAACAAAUGAUUUAUGGGAAUUUGCUUGUUUUAAUAUGAAGAUUUGUGUAUGGUUAUUUGUUAGUGUGAUCAAAGAGUAAGCUUUUGCUAGAUUGUACAUGAAUUGUUGAUGAUGAUGGAUAUCGAUUGGUGGUUUUGAGUGAAUGUGUCUGAUCCUAGAUUCUCUUUGGGUAUUGACAGGGGGGAGGAUAUGAAAAAAGAAAGUUAUUGAAAUAAAUUUACACGUUAUUUUUUAAAUUGUAGGAGACUUGUAGAGGUUCUUCUCAAGCAUGCUUUUUGGUGAGUGAAUUUGAUACCACUGAAGUGUAAUAUUCUACUUUGGAGUAGGAAUUGCAUAAUGUUGUUGAUUCAAGAAUUUUCACCGCAUUUCAGAACGUCCUAUGCAGAAUGCUCUACAAAAUUGCAUAUCAAACGGAGUUUAAAAGAUUGAACUAACACAAAGAAAUUCCAUUGAAAGCUUAGCUGGCAACAAAAUAUUCUAUAAUCUCGUGUUGUAGAUAUUAUGCCGAUCUUUUUUUUUUUUCUCAACAGAAGUUUUAUGCUUAUUGAUUUAUGAAAUGAGAAAAAAAAACGUAAGUGUUUAUGUUUGGCAGAAAAGACUUAAGAACAAAAGCCUUAAGAACAAAAGCCUUAAUCUAUUUUAUAGAAGACUUUAAUUUUUAAUCUCAAGACGAGUAAUUCAACGGCAGAAAAGUCAGUUACAAUAAAGCGCAUCAUGGAAUCCCUGAUAGAAACUUAAGUGUUUAUGUUUGGCAGUCGAGAAAGCUAAAGAAAAUGAAAGAAAAUCUCAUUCUGGAAACUUAUAGAAUAUUCACAUUAAUAUCAUGAGUACAACUUACACACACAUUUAUAUAUAGAAGCUCAGCUGAGCUUGUUACAGUUCGUUAGCUAAUUUGUUACACACACGUGAGAGCUAACCCAAAUAACUAAACACACACGUGAGAGCUAACCCAAAUAACUAACUAAUCCACGUCAGCUAAAGUGAGCUGAUUAGCUGCUGUCAAGAGCACAAUAACAGCAUGUACACGAUUUCUCUGUUCCUUCUCAUUUAAUCAGUUUCACUAACAUCCCUCCUUGAACUGGAGUUUCUUCUUCUCUUAUUACUUCUUUCCUCUGCUCUUCUUACUUUAUCAACUUCACUGACAAUCCCAAACAUAAUUUUAUUCUUUUAUUGAUAAAGUCGGUUCAUAUUACAAUUAAAUUACGGGUGGAAAAAAGAAAAAGACUGAAAUUAUGAUCGCACAAUCUAAUUGAUGGGCCUUCCUUCAAAAAGCGAUCUGCCAUUAAUAAUGACACAAGGUAUAUGGGAAAUCAUGGGCCAAUAUUUUCCUUCAUCCUUUCUGCACCUUUCUUCUAUCAACGGGCAAUCAUCGAUAUAUAGUUGCAAAAGUGAUUUAGGCAGGCCCUGCUCUGGAAAGUAUGUGAGCUUGGGACAAUAACUAAGACGCAGAUAUUUCAAUGAAGUGAGGUUUUCACCAAUUGAGGAUAGGCAUUCCAGAUCUGGCAUACAUGAAAUCCACAGUUCGGUUAGAGAGGCAGGAAACGGCGGAGGUGACACCAGGUCUGGACAUCCUCCCCAGAUUGUGAAUCGCCUGAGAGAGGUGAAUCUGUUGAAUCCCCACUCGAGCAAUGGCUUUGAUAUCUUCAGAUUAAAAACCUCAAGAGAUUGGAGGUUGGUGGGAAAACCAUCCUCUGGGAAUGACACCACGCUAGGGCACCCAGUUAUGUCUAAAUGUAGAAGAGAAGUGAGAUUGUGCAUGCAGUUGGGUAAGGCCUUCAGAUUCUUACAAUCGCAUAUCGUGAGCUCAGUCAGCUUCGUAGAAGGCAAUCCUUCUUCGGGAAAUGAUUCAAGAUUUGGACAUUCAGAUAUCCAAAUCUUUUGAAGAUGGUGGAGAUUAUGCAAACCGGCAGGUAAUGAUUUAAGAUUUUCAAGCUCUGAAAUAGUGAUUUCUUCAAGGGAUGUAUUGUCCAACCUUUCUGCUAACGACUCCAGCUUUGAACAGCGACUGACAUGAAGGCACUUAAGAGCCCGAGGUAAAUUUCCAUUCCGUAACAAAAAAGCAAGAUUCGAGCAAGCCAUGACCCCAAGGUGCUCCAGCAUGGCAGGUAACUCGUUUUCUGAAGAAAAGGAUGUGAGGGAGGUGCACCCUCUGCUGCUACUGCAGAUGUCCUGUUCCGCCAUCAAUGUCCUCAAAUUACAACAGUCGCUAACAAUCAGCCGCUUCAGGCUUGGAGGUAGCUGGAUUCUGUCAAUAUAUGUCAAAGAAUCACAUCUUUUAAUCCUCAGACUUUCAAGAGAUGAAUUGCUAUUUUGCAUCCAUGCCUCAGGUAAGGAUUCCAAAGCACUGCAUUCUUCAAUUACAACUGAUCUCAACUGGGAAGGCAGAGCAGCCUGCGGAAAGGAAACAAGGGAAGCGCAGCCUAAUAUCCGCAUGUCUGUAAGGGAACUAAGGGUGAGCAAUGCUUGUGGCAGCCUUGUAAGGCCUUCACAACAACUCAAUUGCAAAAAUUGAAGCCUGCACGGCAACUCUGGCUGUUGCUGGUCAUGUUCUUCCACUGUUACCAAGGAAAUCAGUUGGGGACAUCUUGAAAUCUGCAACCGAUUAAGGGAUCUAAUGUCUUGCGGCAACCGAGUUUCACUCCGCCAAAAAUAUUCCUGCUCUCGAACAUUAACAAUCUCCAAAUUUUCCAAUUCAGGUAGCCCUUGUUCAAAAAGACCUGCUAAAACCUCUUCAAUAUGCACUAAACGUGGGCUGCUGAACACCACCCUUUUACAUCCAUCGAUUCGUAAUUCACUGAGAGCAGGAAGACAUUGAAUUGUCACUAGCAACUGAUGACAACUGAUGAUGACGAGCUUCUCCAAUAAAAGAAGACGUUUGGGCAAUGUUCCUCGCAGUUUAUGACAAUUGAAAAGAGAAAGCUUUCGCAGCUUAGGAAACACUUCAUCAACUUCUUGACCAGCUCCGAAAGGAAUCCACUCUUCCCAUUCUUGCAUAUUCGCAAAAUAAAGAGUCUCCAGUGAUGGAAAGGGCACUGAGCAACUGUUUCCAUAAAACUCCGACCCCACGCUCACUACUCCGUCCAUUCCACUUAUAUCAAGUUCCUUUAGAAAUGGUAGUUGCCCUACCGAUGGCAAAGAUGUAGACGUGCACUGACGUAAUUCUAGACGCGCCAAUUUUGAGAAAGAGGAAUCUCCUAUCCAACUUGGAAAUUUUGUACCACCACAGCCUGUGAUGGUGAGCACUUGUACAUCUCGAUGUGGUUUUAGCACGCUAAGAACAUGUGUCUCAAAUUCACACCGUUCAGAUCGUGCACUCCAUUCGAGCGAUAAAGCUUCAAGAUUCACCUUGUUGUUUAACUGAGCCUCACUGGCAUCGCCAACAUCUUUCACAUUCUCCAACUUCGAAAUUUCCAGUCUCCCCUGAAGAUGCGCCAAAGACUUUAACUCUCGUAGCCCAGAACCACUGUCUUUUCCCACAACAAAACUACCCAACGUCAAGAGACUGGUCAAUUUACCAAAUCCCUUCGGCAUUUCCUCCAAUUCAUAGGCAUCAGAAUUUCUUAGAUGACGCAGUUUUGUCAGGUUUCCCAUGUCUUUACACAACUUCUUGAGCUUCCAACAGCCUUCCAACAAAAUUGUAUGCAAGUUGUAAAAUGAAUUAAUUGACUCGGGCAAAAUUUGAAUUUCAGUUCUCGAUAAGUUUAGAAAGCGUAAAUGCUUCAAGUUUCCAAUUUCAUUUGGCAGGUUGAAGAUGUUUCUAUACCCGCGCAGAGAAAAGACCCUUAAGCGUGGGAGAUGAUUCACCAGCAUCUGAAGAACACUCCAAGCCAAAUAAUUUUCAUCGAAAACUGAUAACUUCAUUGGCAAAAAGGUUCGCAAAUGUUCCACAUCACAGAUGGACUUCAACCUCUUUUCGCCAUCAUUUUCCCCCUGAAUAUACGAAAAAUGACGAAGACUUGCAGAAAACUUUUGUCGGUUUUCACUUUUUAAGGUAUCCUCCAUUCUGAAGUAUAGCUCCCCUGCAGCCCAUCGAGCAAGGUCAUUGAUUCGAUCAUGCAUCACAAAUCGGGAUGUAUCUUUACUUGAUAGUUGAAAUAACGACCUUGAAUGUAACUCCCGAACGAACUCGCGGCCCAAAUGUUCCAUUUUCCUUCCAUUGUAUUCUUGAUCCAAGAAACCUUCAGCCGUCCACAAUAAAAUUAUCUGCUCUUCUUGAAAUUCAUAAUCUUUCGGAAACAAUGAGCAGUAUGCAAAGCACUGUUUCAACUGUGGAGGAAGAAAAUGGUAGCUCACUCUUAGGGCUGGUAAAAUAUCACUAUCUCGUAAAUUCCAUAUGUCAGUCUUGAGCACAAAUUCCCAGUCUCCUGGGUCAUAUCUGCCGCGUAAAAGGCCGCCAAGAGUUUUUGCGGCCAAAGGCAAUCCUCCGCACUUUAUCACUAUCUGCUCUCCAACUUCCUUCAAGGAUUGGUGCCUGUUGAAAUCCCUAGCCCCCAAGGAGAUUUGAGUGAGCACACACAAACAAUCAUCAUCUGACAACUCUUUCAAUUGAUACACUGGAUCAGCCCCCAUUCUUUCUGCAACGACUAGAUUGCGAGUUGUGACAACAAUCUUACUUCCGGCUGCACCAGCUCCAAAGGGACAGCUCAGUUCGCUCCAACGUCUGUAGUUCUCGUUCCACACGUCAUCCAAAACCAGCAAAAAUUUAUUUCCGCACAAUUGCUUCUUCAGCUUCUCUUGAAGCAAAUUUAAAUCAUCAUCAUUGUUACUCUGAUCUUUAGCAAUGGAAUUCAGGAUUGACUUUGUUACCCUGGAAACAUCAAAAUCCUCAGAGACACAAGUCCACGCUUUGAUCUCAUAAUGACGUUGCACUCGAUCAUCGUUAUAGACAAGCUGAGCAAGAGUCGUCUUCCCGACGCCGCCCAUUCCAUUUAUAGAAAUAACAGAGAAUCCAUCAUCAGCUCUUAAAUCAUCAUUCAACAACAAUUCAAUAAUCUCCUCCUUCUCUUUUUCCCUGCCAUAAACUUUGGCUUCAGUCACCAAAGAAGUUGUGGGUAAUCUUUGUCCUACAUCUCUAGACUUGCCAACUGAAAUUAUAAUUUUCGAAUCCAGCAGGCCUUUCUGCGCUGUAGUAAUAUCUUGCAACCGAUCAGUGAUCCCCUUUAUUUUCGACACCAUCUUUGAUUCAAACUGAAUAGAUCGAGGACUAAAGUUGGUGCCGCAAGUGGGAAUGAGCUUCCGAAACUUACUUGUAUUUGCACUCGAACUGGGUUGAUCAGCAGCAGCUGGUUCUUGAAGCAGCAACUCCCCCCGCAGAGCUUCAGUUUCGAGCUCAUCCAACACGUCUUGAACAUCAUAAGCCAAGUUCUGAAGAUUGUCGAGCCACGUCUUCACUGGCUUCUCCCUGGUCUGCCUAUCCUCAGCAUCAGCAAGCACUGCCUGAAUCAUCUCCAACAUUCCCUUCCACUUGAUGAAAUCAGCCUUCAACUUCUUAUGCCGUGUAAACAGCUCAAGUCCCUGUGGAGCCAGCUUUUUUAUCAGCAGCUCAACUGACGCACUGAGCACCGCCUCUCCUAUGAAUGACAUUUUUUUUUUCUUUUUUUGGUUAAAGGAAACAGAAUAAAUUAUGAAAAAUGAAGAACAAAAGAAAUGUGCAGAAAUUGAACAAAGUCUAGUUUGUGGUUGUGGUUUGUGAAUGAAGAGCAAGAGCAAGCAAGAGAAUGCAAUGUGAAAUGGUGCACACAAAAAACGAACCUUUGUUUUUUAUCAGCACCAAUAAUUCAGCUAGCGACCACCAAAACACUACCACGCCGAUCCACGCGUUUCUGCAACUAAAGUCAAGCAUGAGUAAUCAGUUGGGUUAUUUAUCUUUUAUCAGUUGAAUUAUUUUAUAAAAUAUUUUAAAAUUGUUUGAUAAUUAAUUAUUAAUCAAAUAUUUAAAUAGUUUUAUUUAAUAGACAAUUAAAAAAAAUCUCCUAAGUAAUAUUGUAUAAUUUCAAUAAUUUACAUUUGUUUGUUGUAAUUAUGACUAUCUAAUACUAGUCUAUUAUAUAUAAAUCUACCUUUGGUAUUAGUUGUCACUAAAUUAAUUUUACUUUUUGCUGAUAGUGAGAGGCAAACGCGUUUAAUAUUAACACAAACACGCAAAACAUUUUCGCCACUAGAGAAGCAUGGGUAGUUUGAUUUGUUUAUUUAUCAUAGACCUCAUUUAUCAUUUGAUUAUUAUAUAAAAUAUUUUAUAAAUGAUUAGGUAGAUUUAAGUAUAAAUAAAUUAGUCGGUCGUCUUAUGCCCAUGUUUUAUAUAGACCUUAUUUUUUAGUUAUUUUUCUAAAAAUACUCUAAUUAAUAAAAAAAUUUGAAUUACAUACUGCAACUAUUUUAGAUAUUUCUUUAAUUAAUAAUUAUUUUACAACUAAGAUUUAUUUAUAUAAAUUCUAUAUUUGACAACUUUGAUGAUAAAUAGCUAUAAAAGUUUGUGUUAACUAAUUAUCUAUAUAUCAUUGCAUGAGAUGGCUAGCAAUUCAUAGAGACAUUUUGCAUUUUAACGAAUUUACUUGAUAGAAAAAAUGAUAAUGAGUAAAUUUUACUAUAAAUUAAAUUAAACUGAAUUAUAUAUAAUUUGAUCUCAAAGUCUUGAGAUGGAUUGGCAAAUGGAAUCAAGAAUAGAUUGAUAGUAACACCGGUUCCUUGUUUGUUUGAAUUUAAUUAUGAUUAUUUAUUUAAAUAUUUAUCUUUUGUUUGAGUGAAUUUAUUUUAAUGAGUAUUGUUUGAGAUAAGGAAUAAUUUAUUUAUUUAUUUAUUUUUUUAAAAUAAAAUAUAAAAGAUUAUCAUCUUUAUCGUAUUUUUAUAAAAGCAGGGUAAAUUAUGAAAAAUGAAGAAGAAGAAAAUGUGCAGAAAUUGAACAAAGCCUAGUUUGUGGUCGUGGACUCGUGGUUUGCGAAUGAAGAGUGAAAAAGCGCACACAAAAACAGAGAUUUACAACCACUCGGCUCAGCCCGAGUGGCCAGGGCUGCUGCCCUCCAAGUUGGAGGGCAGCAGUUCGAACCCCCACAAAAGUAUUGUGGGGGUAUUUCCUUCCUCAAUUAAUUUGAGUGAAGGUAGUCUUCUCCCUUACUCAUGAGUGAGGAGUAGACAUCCUUCGAAUAUUUGUGAGGGUUAAAAUCUGGGCAGAGCUCCAUUAACAUUGAUGUCAGUUGGUCCCAGUAAUAGUAUGAUUUGUAAAUAUCAGUAAUAGUCUCAUGUAUAUGAGUUGUAAUCUGAGCAAUAGUCUCAUGUAAUAAAAAAAAAAAAAACAGAGAUUUACUGACCAAAACACCACCAUGUACCAAUAAUUCAGCCACGACGACCAAAGCACCACGACGUCAAUCCACGCGUUCUUAGCACCAAGUCAAGCAUGAGUAAUUGGUUGGGUUAUUUAUCUUUUACCAUUUGAUUAUUAUAUAAAUUAUUUUAAAAUCAUUUGAUAAAUAAUCAUUAAUCAAAUAUUUAAAUAAUUUUUUAUUUUGUUUAAUACACAAUAAUAUAUCUGAUAUGUACUAAUGUAUCAUUUAAAUAAUACAUAUUUAUUUAAAGUGAUUAUGACUAACUAAUACUAACUUACCGCUAGAUGUCUUUUAAAUUAAUUUUAAUUUUUAGUAAUAGUGAGAGAUUCGCUGGUGAGAUUUCUCUUUGAGUCAAAAUCAUUAAAGUUAUUCAAUUAAUUUUGGGCAUACAUAAAUUUUUUGGAAGUAUUUCAUAGGAUUCGAUCAUCCGAUUAAUUUUGGCCGUACAUAAUUUUAAUGCCACGAAAGUAGCGUGAGCCGUGCUCUACUAAUUCCUUCCAAUAAUAUGACAAUUCUCUAAAGAAAAGUCAGUCUAGCGACAACCAAAACACGACCACGCGGACGCGUCUCCACCACUAGAAUUGAUUUUGAUUACUGAUCAUAUAGGUGUCGCUUAUCAUUUGAUUAUUAUAUAAAAUAUUUAUUAAUCUAUUUAUUUUAUUAAGAUCAGUCAGUUUUAAGCUUAGGCAAAUUAAGUUGAAGGCCAUUUUAGUUAUUUUUUUAAUAAUAUCUAAUUAAUUUUAAAAAAGAUAUAAUUUCUUAAAAUAUAAAGUCUAUUAUCAUAUCUUAUCAAUAAUUCAUCAUCUCAACCAUCUAAGUACUAUCAUUCUAAAUAUUUUAUUUAAAAAUUAUAUUGUUCUUAUUUAUUUAUUUAAUUUAUAAAAGUUCUGCUCGAAAUAAAAAAGAUAUUUUCUUGAUUAAUUUUUUAAGAUUUUUUUUAAAAUUAUUUAGGAUGUCAUUAAUUAUUGUUGAAAUUCAAGAUAUAAUUAAAUAAGGAUGAAUUUUGAUAUCUUUUCUACUUCAUUUAAGUGUUAAAGGUUUUGAAAAUAAGUAGGUCUCCUGAAAAAAAUUUACUUAAAGCCUUGCGAACUCUAAUUAGAGCCCAUCUUGAUUUUAUUUAGUAGGCAAUAAUGUAUCUCACACGCACUAUCUCACAUGUAAUAAUGUGUAAUUAAAAUUAUUUACUUUUGUUUAUGGUAAUUAUGAAUGAAUACCUAAUAACUAAUUUAUUAUAUAUUGUAUUUUUUUAUUAGUUGUCUUCUUUACUAGAAAUUUUGUCAUAAUUCUUACGCGGUUGAUCAAAAUAAAAAGUAACCUUUAAUUAUGCUAACUCAUCAAAAGCUAGAUUACAUGAAAUCAUCCCCAUUUUGAUUUGUGAAGACUGAAGAGUAAAGCAGGGAAGAGCGGGUAAUGUGAAAUGGCGUACACGGAAACACAGCUUUACUGACCAAAACACCGCCACGUCAGUCCACGCGUUUCUGCCACUAAAGUCAAGCAUGAGCAAUUGGUUGGGUUAUUUAUCUUUUGCCAUUUGAUUAUUCUAUAAAAUAUUUUAAAAUCAUUUGAUAAAUAAUCAUUAAUAAAAUAUUUUAAUAGAUUUUUAUUUUACUUAAUACACAAUAAUAUAUCUGGUAUGUAAUAAUGUAUAAAUAAUUUACAUUUAUUUAUAGUGAUUAUGACUAGCCAAUACUAAUUUACCAUUAGAUGUCUUUUAAAUUAAUUUUAAUUUUAAUUGAUAGUGAGAGAUUCACCAAUGAGAUUUGUCUCCGAGUCGAAAUCAUCAAAGUCAUCCAAUUAAUUUUGGGCGUACAUAAUCUUUUUGGAGUAUUUCAUAGGUUCCGAUUAUACCUAAGUGCAAAUUUUCGAGUUUGUCAUGAGAUGUUGAAAUUUUGCUUUUGAUGAAGCAACUAAUUAUUAAUUAAGCUUGUUCUUAGUUGUUCUCGGCCCCCAUCCAAAUCGCACGUCUUUUGAACUAUUCUUCUGAUAUAAUAUUACCCUUUCAUUCAAAUAAAAUUAAAUAAUUCUUUUGAGAUACCCAUGGAUAAUUUAGUAGUAGUAGUAUUAUUAUUUUAUCAAGUUACGUACUAUUAUUUAAUGAUAAUUGGAAAAGAUAAAAUCUACAUAAAUUGAACGAAGUCCGUGGUUUGAGAAUGAAGAGUAAAAGCAGGCAAGAGAAUCCAAUUUGAAAUUGGUCAACAAUAACAAGCUCUGCUUGACUCACCAUGCACUAAUAAUACAAUUCAGCUCCGCUACUUCGAGGAAAUUGCACCAUUUAUGCCACGAAAGUGGCUUAAGCCGUUAAUUCCAACAAUACGACAAUUCUCUAAAGACGACCACACAGAUGCGUACCCACCACUAGAAAAGCACAAGUAAUUUGAUUUUAAUUAUUGAUCAUACGGAUUUGAUUUAUCAUUUGAUUAUUAUAUAAAAUAUAAUCUAUUUAUUUUAUUAAGAUCAGUUUUAAGCAUAGGCAAAUUAAGCAGUCAUUUUAGUUAUUUUUUUAAUAAUACUCCAAUUAAUUUUUAAAAAAAAAUAUAGUUUCUUAAAAUACAAAGUCCAACGUCAUAUCUUAUCAACAAUUCAUCAUCUCAACAAUCUAAGUGCUAUCAUUCUAAAUAUUCUAUUUAAAAUUUGUAUUGUUCUUACUUAAUUUAUAAAAGUUAUGAUCGAAGUAGAAAAAAUAUCUUAUUGAUUACUUUUUUAAGGAUUUUUUAAAUUGUUUAGGAAGUUCUUGAUUAUUUUUGAAAUUCAAGAUUAUAAUUAAAGAUGGAUGAAUUUUGAUCUCUUUUCUAUUUCCUUUAAGUGUUAAAAAAAAAUUCCUAAAGCCCUGCAAACUCUAGCUAGAGCCGGUCUUGAUUUUAUUAAAUAGGCAAUAAUGUAUCUCAUAUACACUAUCUCGUAUGUAAUAAUCUAUUGCCCAUUUGCCUUUAACUUUUUGAAGUGCAUUGAAAUCUAAACCGAGUGAAAGGAUAAAGAGAAGGAGAAAAGAAAUCAAAUAAAAAAAGAAAAUUUUAUUUAUUUAUUUACUAUAAAAAUCUUGGGACCAUAUGCAUUCCAGUCUUGGUUUUGAAAUACCCGUACAAAAAUUGAUAAGAGACAAAAAUAUAUACCAAAAUAGUUCCUUUUGCAAUCAAAUGAUCAAUGGAAGAGAGAAUACAUAAAUAUGAUCUAUUUUCCUUUCUCUGGAGGGUCAAGAACCGACUUUGGAUAAGAAGCUCAAAUCCAGUACCGUUCAGUAUAUCAUCGACAUAUAUUUAAUCAGCUGAUUAAAAUUCGGUAUGAAUUCAUGACUAAAUUUUGCCCUAAUUAAAAUGCUGGCACUGAUUAGGACUCUUACAUUGGAGACGGGAUCCUAACUGUACCCAUUUUUUUUUUUUUAAUUUUCUAGUUUAAUUAAAAUGUUAAAAAUAGAAUUUAUUCAAAUUUUGGCAAAAAAAACCCAAUCUCGAUGCUUUCUUUUAUACUACCACAGCCCAAUCCUUUUAAUUUAUAAUUUAUUUUAAUUCAAAUACUAAAUAAAUAAAAAAUAAUUACGUUCAGAACAUUUAGUAUAUUCUGAAUAACUGAGACAUUUCUUGUAUUUUCAUCAGUAGAGACUAGAUAAUGUUUUUUUAUCCUGAUUAAAAAAUUGAUACAGAAUUAGUUAUCAUUUUCUUGUUCCAAUUAAAUAAUCGAUAGGGAUCGAUAAUAGGCAAUGAGACGUUCUGAUUGCCGAUUUCCAUUGACUUGCACUCUCAAUUUUAAGACUUCAAAUUAACAAGUCAGUCAACCGCAAGUUCAUUUCAUCUUAUCAAAAUAUUAUAAUCAAGAAUAAUUUAAUGGCUAUACAUAGUUCAAUAAUCUAAUGUACAUGAUUCACUAACUUUUGAGAAGGACAAUUUACACUUAUUUUAUACAAUACUUGAUGCUGAAUCAUCCUUAUCAUGAGUCAUAAGAAAUUGAACAACGUCUAGUUUGUGGUUGUGGUUUGUGAAUGAAGAGUAAGAGCAAGCAAGAGAAUGCAAUGUGAAAUUGUGUUCACAAAAAACGAAGCUUUGCUUUUUAUCAGCACCAAUAAUUCAGCUAGCGACGCCCAAAACACUACCACGCCGAUCCACGCGUUUCUACCACUAAAAUCAAGCAUGAGAAAUCAGUUGGGUUAUUUACUUUUUAUCAGCUGAAUUAUUAUAUAAAAUAUUUUAAAAUUAUUUGAUAAUUAAUUAUUAAUCAAAUAUUUAAAUAGUUUUAUUUAAUAGACAAUAAAACAAUCUUGUAUGUAAUAUUGUAUAAUUUUAAUAAUUUACGUUUGUUUAAUUGUAACUAUGACUAUCUAAUAUGUUGAGUUAGCUGGUGAAGCAAAUCAGAAGGAGAUCAAAACGACGUGGGAGUGUUGCGUUUCGAGGAAUAACUUUUAUAAGUAAAACGAAACUGUGAGUUGUCGUUUUAGCUUUAGAAAGUCACAAGCUCGUCACGUGUUGAAGCCAAGUCGUUAAGGGUCGUUUAUUUUCAUGUGAGAAAAGCGUGAGCUUCUGGGCUUAGGGAGUUAGUUAAAAAGCUGUUAACAUAGCUGGUUUUCGAAGAGCAAAAACAGAGAGUAUUUUCAAGAGAGAUUGAGAGAAGUUCGAGUUAAAAAGAUCAGCUUCUUGGUCUCUGAAUUGUAUUCUGUAAAGUCUCAUUGAAAUUCCUUACAAAUCAAUAAAGCUGACCAUAUUGUUUCUCUGUGGAUGUAAGCUGGUGUAAAACAGCUGAACCACGUUACAUUGUUUUUGUUCUUGAUUCUUUGUUAACUCAAUUCAAUUUUUCAUCUGUGUUUCUGAUUGAUUAAACUUAGCCAUAAUCGAAUCUUGUGAGCAUCUUGUUUGGUCUGAUUAGAGAGGUCUUGGGCUGCAAUUGGUGUUGACUGGUUUAUUGUUUUGGUCUCACGAAUUGCAACAAUUGGUAUCAGAGCUUGGUCUUAAGAAUCAGAUCCAAGUAUGGCAAUGGCAAAGAUUGAUUUGGAAAAGUUUAAUGGAAAGAAUGAUUUCAACAUGUGGAAGGUGAAAAUGGAGGCUCUGCUAAUCACACAAGGGCUAAGGGAUGCAAUCGAACCAGUUACCAAGAAAGAAGAGAAAGAAGCUUCAUCAUCAAGAACACCUGAGCAAGCUGCUGAGAUAGACAAGAAAGCCAGAAGCACCAUCAUCUUGAGUCUUGGUGACUCUGUAAUCAGGGAGGUUGCCAAAGAGAGGAUUGUUGCAGAGCUUUGGGCAAAGCUUGAUAGACUGUACAUGACUAAGUCUCUAGAAAACAGAUUAUAUAUCAAGAAAAGGAUGUUUACUCUCAAAAUGGGUGAAUGAUCCUCUCUUGAUGAUCACAUUGACGAAUUCAAUAAAGUCUGUGAUACAUUGGAGACUAUAGAUGAAGGGUUAGAUGAUGAAGGUAAGGCACUGCUUCUGGUGAGUUCACUGCCGCAAUCAUACUCAAAUUUUGUUGAUGCCCUCAUGUAUGGUAGGCAGACCUUGUCCUUAGAUGAAGUUAAGGCAGCCCUAAAUACAAGGGGGUUACAACAAAAAUCUGGGGGUAUACAGAAUGGUGAAGGUCUGAUAGCAAAGGGGAAAUCUAGCAAGGGUGAUGGAAAGAAGAAACAGAAACAAGACAAGAAUAAGGCAAAGUCUCAGAAUCUGAAGUGUUUUGAAUGCCACAAAGAAAGGCACUUCAAAAGGGACUGUCCAGAGAUAAAGAACAAAAAGAAGAAUCAACAUGGGGAUGCAGCAACAGUUGAAGAAGAAGGAUAUGAGUCAGCUGGAGUUUGUGUAGCAACUGAGAACAUGCAAAGAGGUAAAUGGAUCCUAGACUCUAGAUGUACCUUUCAUAUGUCUCCUUACAAGAAUUAUUUUUCUAACUAUCAAGAUAUUGAUGGAGGGAAGGUAAUGAUGGGAAACAAUGCAGUUUGUAGAAUCAUAGGUAUAGGGACUGUGAAUCUUAAACUGAAAAAUGGGGAAAUCUGGGAACUUAGAGAAGUUAGGCAUGUCCUUAACCUAAAGAGAAAUCUGAUUUCUCUUGGAAUGGUUGAUCAAAAUGGUUUUAGCAUUAAGCUUGAAUCUGGAAAGCUAAUGAUCUCUAAUGGGACCAGAACUGAAAUAGAGGGUACUAAGAGGAAUGGGGUAUAUGUCCUGGAUGGAGAAGCCAUUACAGGAUUGUCAAGUGUAUCCAUUGGGUCUGAUAAAGACAAGACCAAACUCUGGCAUUUGAGACUUGGGCAUAUGAGCAUCAAGGGUCUAAAGGAACUGCAGAAACAAGGGGUUCUAGGAGAUGAGAAGAUCACUGAGCUGGACUUUUGUAAAGACUGUGUACUUGGUAAAACAACAAGGAGCAGUUUCAAAAGCUCAACUCACACCACCUGUGGAAUACUAGACUACAUACAUUCAUACCUCUGGGGGCCAGCACAAACAACCUCACUUGGAGGUAACAGCUACUUUCUGUCAAUAAUUGAUGAUUUCUCAAGGAGAGUUUGGGUUUAUGUUUUGAAGCAUAAGGAUCAUGUGUUUGAAAAAUUCAAAGAGUGGAAGUCAUUAGUUGAGAAUCAGAUUGGAAGAAAGGUGAAGAAACUCAGGACUGAUAAUGGUCUUGAAUUCUGCAAUCAAAGAUUUGGUAGCUACUAUGCACAUGAAGGUAUAGCUAGACACAAAACAGUGAGAAUGACACCUCAGCAGAAUGGGCUAGCAGAGAGGAUGAAUAGGACCUUAAUGGAUAAAGUCAGAUGCAUGUUAGUUCAAGCACAACUCCCUAAAAGUCUGUGGGUAGAAACUUUACUAACUGCAUGUUACUUGGUAAAUCUCAGUCCUUCAGUUGCUCUAGACUACAAAACCCUAUUUGAAGUUUGGCAUGGUAAACCAGCAAGCUAUGAUGUUUUGAGGGUAUUUGGCUGCCCUGCAUAUGCACAUAUCAGACAAGAUAAAUUGGCACCAAGGGCACUUAAAGGACAGUUUAUUGGGUACCCUGAAGGAGUUAAGGGCUAUAAACUGUGGUGCACUGAUUUCAACCCACCAAAAUGUAUCCUUAGUAAAGAUGUGGUAUUCAAUGAAGGGGUUGUACUGGAAAAUAAGAAAUCUGCUGGAGACAGCCAAUAGGGAGAGGAUGAACAGACCAAUAAUCAGUUUGAGGUGGAGCAGAUUAUCCAUAAACAAUAUGAAGAUGAUGGAAAUUCUGAAAGCAUUAGUGAAGAACAGGAAGAAUGCAUUGAAACUCAAACCCAGCCCCAACAGCAACAAACUUAGCUGCAGAAUUAUCAGUUAACAAAGGACAGAAAGAAGAGACAAAUAAGACCUCCACAGAGGUAUGGAUAUGCUGACUUAAUAGCUUAUGCACUUGCUGCAUCUCAUGAAAUAGAAGUAGAUGAACCUAAGAACUACUUUGAAGCAAUUCAUAGCCCUCACAAAGCUGAAUGGCAGAAAGCUAUGGAUGAUGAGAUAGCAUCACUGCAUAAGAACAACACUUGGGAAUUGGUUGAAAAGAUCAACAACAGGAAAACAAUGGGUUGCAAAUGGAUUUUCAGGGUUAAGGAAGGAUUAACAGCUGCUGAGCCUAGAAGAUUCAAAGCUAGGUUAGUAGCUAAGGGCUAUACACAAAAGGAAGGAGUGGACUUCAAAGAAGUCUUCUCACCUGUGGUCAGACAUGCUUCAAUAAGAGUGUUAUUGGCAUUAACUGCAGUGAAUGACAUGGAGCUUGAUCAGCUGGAUGUCAAGACUGCAUUUCUACAUGGGAGACUUGAAGAGGAGAUUUUGAUGACUCAACCUGAAGGGUAUACUGAUCCCAAGAAGCCUGACUAUGUUUGUUUGCUGAAAAAAUCACUGUAUGGUUUGAAGCAGUCCCCAAGGCAGUGGUAUCUCAGGUUUGAUGAGUUCAUGAUAUCACAUGGAUACUUGAGAUGCAACUAUGACUGGUGUGUAUACUACAAGUUGGUAAAAAUAGAUCUCUACAUAUAUUUGUUAUUAUAUGUAGAUGAUAUGUUGGUUGCUUGUAAGUCUAGAACUGAAAUUGAAGCUCUAAAGCAGUUGCUGAAUUCUGAAUUUGACAUGAAGGAUUUGGGCCAAGCAAAGAAAAUCCUAGGGAUGGAAAUCAGAAGGAACAGGGAAAGAGGAACUAUGUUUCUCACACAAAGGAAGUAUCUAGAAAGGGUACUGGCAAGCUUUGGCAUGACAGAUUGUAAGUCUGUGAAAACUCCACUUGCUGCACAUUUUAAGCUCUCAAGCUUACAAUGUCCAAAGUCAGAUAAGGAGAAAGAUGAAAUGUCAGCAAUUCCUUAUGCAAAUGUUGUAGGAUGUAUGAUGUAUGCAAUGGUCUUGACUAGGCCAGAUAUAUUACAUGCUCUCAGUGUGGUAAGCAGGUACAUGGCUUCACCUGGACAAGACCACUGGCAAGCUGCAAAGUGGAUACUGAGAUACCUGAAAGGCACACUUGAAUAUGGAUUAGUCUAUGGCAGAUCAGAUAGGAAAGAGAAUGGAAUUUGUGGUUUUGUUGAUGCUAAUUUUGUUGGAGAUUUAGAUAGAAGGAGAUCAUUAUCAGGCUACAUGUACAUGUUCAACGGCUGCUUGAUUGACUGGAAGGCUAACCUACAACAUGUUGUUGCCUUAUCAACAACAGAGGCUGAAUAUACUGCUGCUACAGAAGCAGUUAAAGAAGCUCUGUGGUUAAAGGGUCUCAUGGGAGAGCUGGGAUUGGCUCAAAAGACUGUUGAAGUGUUUUGUGACAGUUCAAGCGCAAUCUAUCUGAGCAAGAAUCCAGCACAUCAUGAAAGAACAAAACAUAUAGACAUAAAACUUCAUUUCAUAAGAAAUGAAGUGUCCAAAGGAAUUGUGAAAAUGGUCAAAAUCCAUACUGACAGUAAUCCUGCUGAUAUGCUGACGAAGGUGGUUUCAAUAGCCAAGCUCAAGUUCUGCUUGAACAUGGCUGGUUUGUGUGGUUGGUGAUGCACACAUGGAGAGGAACAAUGUUGAUCAGGCUGAUUUGUUCAAGGUGGAGAAUUGUUGAGUUAGCUGGUGAAGCAAAUCAGAAGGAGAUCGAAACGACGUGGGAGUGUUGCGUUUCGAGGAAUAACUUGUAUAAGUAAAACGAAACUGUGAGUUGUCGUUUUAGCUUUAGAAAGUCACAAGCUCGUCACGUGUUGAAGCCAAGUCGUUAAGGGUCGUUUAUUUUCACGUGAGAAAAGCGUGAGCUUCUAGGCUUAGGGAAUCAAUUAAAAAGCUGUUAACACAGCUGGUUUUCGAAGAGCAAAAACAGAGAGUAUUUUCAAGAGAGAUUGAGAGAAGUUCGAGUUAAAAAGAUCAGCUUCUUGGUCUCUGAAUUAUAUUCUGUAAAGUCUCAUUGAAAUUCCUUACAAAUCAAUAAAGCUGACCAUAUUGUUUCUCCGUGGAUGUAAGCUGGUGCAAAACAGCUGAACCACGUUACAUUGUCUUUGUUCUUGAUUCUUUGUUAACUCAAUUCAAUUUUUCAUCUGUGUUUCUAAUUGAUUAAACUUAGCCAUAAUCAAAUAUUGUGAGCAUCUUGUUUGGUCUGAUUAGAGAGGUCUUGGGCUGCAAUUGGUGUUGACUGGUUUAUUGUUUUGGUCUCACGAAUUGCAACAUAAUACUAAUUUAUUAUAUAUAAAUCUACCUUUUGUAUUAGCUAUCAUUAAAUUAAUUUUAAUUUUACUGAUAGUGAGAGGCAAACGCGUUUAAUAUUAACACUAACGCGCUAAUGCAUUUUUGCCACUAGAGAAGCACGAGUAAUUUGAUUUGUUUAUUUAUGAUAGACGUCAUUUAUCAUUUGAUUAUUAUAUAAAACAUUUUAUAAAUGAUUAGGCGGAUUUAAGUAUAGAUAAAUUAGUCGGUCCUCUUAGGCUCAUGUUUUAGAUAGACCCUAAUUUUUUAGUUAUUUCUCUAAAAUACUCUAAUUAAUAAAAAAAUUAAUUACAUACGGCAACUAUUUUAGAUAUUUCUUUAAUUAAUAAUUAUUCUACAACUAAGAUUUAUUUACACAAAUUCUAUAUUUGACAACUUUGAUGAUAAAUAGCUAUAAAAAAUUUGUGUUAACUAAUUGUUUAUAUAUCAUUGCAUGAGAUGACUAGCAAUUCAUAGAGACAUUUUGCAUUUUAACCAAUUUACUUGAUAGCAAAAAUGAUGCUGAGUAAAUUUUACUAUUAAUUAAAUUAAAUUGAAUUAUAUAUAAUUUGAUCUCAAAGUCUUGAGAUGGAUUGGAAAAUGGAAUCAAGAAUAAUUUGACAGUGACACCGGUUCCUUGUUUCUUUGAAUUUAAUUAUGAUUAUUUAUUUAUUAUUUAUCUUUUGUUUGGGUGAAUUUAUUUUAAUUAGUAUUGUUUGAGAUAAGGCACAAUUCUUUUUAUUUAUUUUAUUUAGUUUUUUAAAAUAAAUUAUAAAAGAUUAUCAUCUUUAUCGUAUUUUUAUAAAAGCAGAGUAAAUUAUGAAAAAUGAAGAAGAAAAAAAUGUCCAGAAAUUGAACAAAAGUCUAGUUUGUGGGCGUGGUUUGUGAAUGCAGAGUGAAAAAGUGCACCCAAAAACAGAGCUCUACUGACCAAAACACCACCAUGCACCAAUAAUUCAGCCAGCGACGACCAAAGCCCCACGACGUCAAUCCACGCAUUUCCUCCGCUACUGCGAGGAAAUUGCACCAUUUAUGCCACGAAAGUGGCGUAAGCACUAAGCCGUGCUCUACUAAUUUCAACAAUACGACAAUUCUCUAAGAAAAGUUAGUCUAGCGACGACCAAACACAACCACGAAGGCGCGUUUCCACCACUAGAAAAGCAUGAGUAAUUUGAUUUUGAUUAUUAAUCGUAUAGAUGUUAGUUAUCAUUUGAUUAUUAUAUAAAAUAUUUUAUAAAUAAUUAAUUAAAUAUUUAUAUAAUCUAUUUAUUUUAUUAAGAUCAGUUUUAAGCAUACACAAAUUAAGCAGUCGGCUGAACUCCAUUUUAGUUAUUUUUUCAAUAAUACUCUAAUUAAUUUUUGAAAAAAAAGAUGUAGUUUCUUAAAAUAUAAAGUUCAUUGUCAUAUCUUAUCAAUAAUUCAUCAUCUCAACCAUCUAAGUGCUAUUAUUUUAAAUAUUUUAUUUAAAAUUUAUAUUGUUCUUAUUUAUUUAAUUUAUAAAAGUUCUGCUCGAAAUAAAAAAGAUCUCUUCUUGAUUUUUUAAGUUUUUUUUUAAAUAUAGUUGGAUGUUAUUGAUUAUUGCUGAAAUUCAAGAUAUAAUUAAAUUUGGAUGAAUUUUGAUAUCUUUUCUAUUUUAUUUAAGUGUUAAAGGUUUUGAAGAUAAGGAGUCUCUUGAAAAAAAUUUGCCUAAAGUCUUGCAAACUCUAGUUAGAGCCAAUCUUGAUUUUAUUUAGUAGGCAAUAAUGUAUCUCACACGCACUAUCUCUAUAAUAAUGUAUAAUUUAAAUAAUUUACUUUGUUUAUGAUAAUUAUGAAUGAAUACCUAAUAACUAAUUUAUUGUAUAUUUAAUGUUUUAUUAGUUUUCUUCUUUACUAGAAAUCUUGUCAUAAUUUUUAAGCCGUUGUUAAAAAAAAGUAACAUUUAAUUAUGUUAAAUCAACAAAAGUUAAAUUACAUGAAAUCAUCCGCAUUUUGAUUUGUGAAGACUGAAGAGUAAAGCUGGCAAGAGCAAGUAAUUGUUACUUUUUUGAGGAUUUUUAAAAAUUGUUUAGGAUGUUCUUGAUUUUUGUUGAAAUUCAAGAUACAAUUAAAUAUGGAUGAAUUUUGAUCUCUUUUCUAUUUCCUUUUAGUGUUAAAAGUUUCGAAUAUAAGGAGGUCUCCUUUAAAAAAAUAGAAUUUGCUUAAAGCCGUGCAAACUCUAGCUGGAGCUAGUCUUGAUUUUCUUUAGUAGGCAAUAAUGUAUUUUAUAUGCACAAUCUCGUAUGUAAUAAUGUAUAAUUUAAAUAAUUUACAUUUGUUUAUGGUAAUUAUGAAUGAAUACCAAUAACUAAUUUAUUAUAUAUUUAAUUUUUUUAUUAGUUGUCUUCUUUACUAGAAAUCUUGUCAUAAUUUAUAAGCCGUUGAUCAAAAUAAAAAGUAACAUUUAAUUAUGUUAAACAGUCAAAAGUUAAUUUGAUUACAUGAAAUAAAUGUCUCAAAAUAUAUGUAAAAUAUUUAAAUUAAAAUAAUCUUAAUGAGGAUUUAUACACUUGCAUAGUUCAUAAAUAGUUUGAAUUCCAAAUAAUAUAUAAUGAAUCAUUACUUACUGUUUGUUAAAUAAGUGCCUAUAUUUGCGUGAUAUGAUUAAGCAGUUCAUAAAGACGUUUGGCAUUUUAACCAAUUACUAGCUGGUAAAAAUGAUACUGAGUAAAUAAUUAUUAAUUAAAUUGAAUUAUAUAUAAUUUGAUCUUAAUGUCCUUGAGAUGAAUUGGCAGAUGGAAUCAAGAAUAAUCUGACCAUGGCAAACAGAGUAAAGAGACCAUUUUCAUGGACCUGCACUCCAAUUUCAAGACUACAAAUUAACAAGUCAGUCAACCACAAGUUCAUUUCAUUUUUUCAAAAUAUUAUAAUCAAGAAUAAAUUAUGGAUAUGCAUAGUUCAAUCUAAUGGAAAUGAUUCAUUGACCUUUAAGAAGGACAAUUUAUGCUAAUUUUAUACAAUACUUUAUAGUGAAUCAUCCUUAUCAUGUCAUCACCCUGAGCUGUUCUAACAUCGAUAAACUGUUAUUUGUAUUAUUUAGAAUUCAUAAUUAAUCCACUGUCUAUUUAAAAGACACAAUACAUCGUAUUAUUUGGGAUUCAUAAUAAAUCAAACUUAAUAAUAGUUAUUAAAAAACCAUGACGUAGUACAUCAUAUAGAAUUACAUACUGAGAUCAAAACAUACUCUUUAUUUUUUUUAAGCAUGUGCAAACUUUUUGAGUGUAAUGUGAACUGCAUGCCACAAAAGUCAAUAAAAACACGCGUUACUGGUCCGCCUUGCAAAGUUGCAAAAUUAUUUAUUUAAAUUAGAAUUAAGUGACAAAAUGAUUAAGCUUUUGGCAAAGCAAAAUGCAAGUGCAAAGACAAAACAAUGUGGACACCAAUCAAAAUUAAAGCAAAAUAAACAAAAUGAUUAAAGCUUCGCAGUAAACAAAAUGUCUCCUUCUUACUCAUUAUUGCCAAAAGUAUUCAAUUUCGAUAACUGAAAGAUGCCGAAAUUGAAAAUGUCUACUAAUGAGUCUGUUUACUUUUUAAGUCUAGGCAUAUAAUUGCUCCCGUGAUACUGUAUGAUGACAAUAUUACAUAUUGAUUCUAUGAUGCAACUCCAUUAGAUAUCUGAUAUCUCAAUGCCAUGGGAAAUUUCUACAGAAAUGAGCGCUUGCAUCCAAGUAUUUAUCUGAAAGUUGUGAAGAGUAAUUGCUAAUCACACUAAACUCUUGAACUGAUGUUUAACUAUAUUUGGUCUCUUAUAUAUACUCCAGCUUGCCAAAAAUUUUCUUAUGCGUCUAUGUGUAAUAUGCCAUACAGUAUCUUGCUUUCUAGUAUAUUUAUAGGAAGUGUGUAAAGAUGUUUGAAGAGCUUUCACUGUGUUUUAGAUGGUGCUAUAUAUGCAAGAUGCCCUUGAAAAUUGCUUGUUACGUUCAUGCAGCUUUAUUCAAAUGUGGGCAAAAUCCCCAUCAAUUGGCAAUUUACAUGGUCACCAACAAUGCAAUGCAAAGUGUUACAGGCUUACAGCUUACUCGUUAAUGCUAUGUUAUCGUCCAGAUGUAUGAACAGUAAGAGAAAAAUUAGAAGUAGCUUGAAAAAUCUAGAGCAAGCCUUAUUUAUUACUUUCAUCAAAUUACCUGUUAAUUUAAAUGUUGUAAUUCUAGUCAAUUGUAGGAGAUCCACAACGAUUGCAGUCAAUUCCAAAAAUUCUAAAGUACAUCAACGAUUGCAAUUAAUUUACUUGUUUAGCUAUAUAACAAGCAAAAGAUAUUAUGUUUUGUAUUCAUUUAUUUUGAAAAACUAACGUACAAGUAAUAGUUGCAUUAAAUUUAACUAUAUAUGUCAUACGUUCAGUUGUUAGUUGUAUUAAUGAUUUUGAGAGAUACUAUUCAUUCAUUUAGUUAACUUGAUUCUUUCAUUAUGUUAAUUAAUUUGUGAUAUUGGUUUAAUAGGCACAGUUUAAUUACAUUCUAAAAUAUAUAUAGACACAAGAUAUUAUAAAUGAAUCAUUUUCAUAAAUGAUUUAUUCCAAUUAUAAAAUUUAUAAAUGGUCUAACACAAUAAAUGAUAGAACUAAGUACAUGUGUUUUAAGUGAAUAUUAUAAAUUGUAUCAAUAAACUCAUGGGCAAAAUUGUUUGUAACCUAAAAAAUACUUUAUACAAAAUUUAAGUUUCACAAACCUAUAUAUUUUCAUUUUAUUUUCAAAUUUCACUUUGUUAAUUUCAUUAAAGUCAAAUCUUACAUAUAUUUCUAAUUACCUUUAGUUUAUGAAUCGCAAAAGAUUAUUUUAUUUAUAGUCAUUGGAUUGUAAUUAUAGAAUUUUAUGUUACUAAGUAUUAAUACUCUUAUUAUGAUAAUUAAUGGUAACAAUACAUAAAAAAAAAAUUAACUCCAAUAAUAUUUACAUAGGAAAGAAUGAGAAAAAAUUCUUUAUAUAAUGUUAUAAUUUCAUUAUAAACCUGGUUUAGGAUAUUUUAACGUAAAUUUUUGAUGCAAAGUUUGAGCUAUUAAUUUCUCACAAUCUAGUGGUUGAUAUUGAAAGUCAAAACAAUAUUUUAGGAUGUUAUAUUACCCACCAUUGAAUUGCAUGAAUUUAACAGUUUAAAUUUUGUGCUAAAAAUUUAAGUUAAAAUAAGCUAACUCUAAAGGUAUAUAUCUUAACUCUAGAGGUAUGUAUCCAAGCUGUCAUGUAGUUAUAUACACACAUAUAUUUUUCAAUUAUAGUUGUUGAAUAAAAUAUUUCUCAUUUGUUGUGACUAAUAUAGUAUCAUUAAUAAAACAUAGAUCAAAUAAUUUAUGACAAUGCCUUCUAUGAUCAUUAUUGUUUAUUUAAUGGUUUUAUAAUUAAAUUAAUACAAUAAAUUAUUAUUAAGACCUUAUGAAAUAUCUUUAUAUAAAAUAUUAUUAAAAUAAUAUUACCUGUAAAAUUGUAAAGUUAUAGCUAUUACACAAUAAUUUUAAUUUCAAAAUUAUCUGUAUUUUUUAUUUUUUGGGUGUUUUAAAAAUAUUUAUGAACUGAAUAGAUUAAAAAUAAUUUACAGUGUGAAGAAAUACUACAAUUUGUAAAUUACUAGUUAAAUAAUUGCUUAUCCGUUAAAAUUAAAAUAAGGGUAAUUUUUUAUUGUGGGAUUUUUAUUCCAACAUAAUAGAAUUUUUCAGUUGUUAGUUAACUUUAAAAAAAAAAAUUCAACGUUUACUUGCAGCCCGAAGUUUACCUAUUAUUCUUUAAUUAAUUAAUUUUUAUCCACCAUAUUAAAUGAAUGGUAGAGAUUAAAACACUUAAAUUUAAGAGUUCACAACAAUCUCAUUAUCAAUGUUGUAAAAAUUCAUGCACCAUUAUAGAGAUGAGAAGUCCUUAUUAUUAUCAUAAAUUGUCUAUUUUUGUUCAACUUCUCAUAGUUUUGAACUCCAAAAAUAAAGAAUCUGAAGUAUAAUUAGUUGAAUGGAGCUGACUCCGUAGGUUGAAUCAUGUGAGAAUUAAAAGAUUUACAACAAGCCAUACGAAAUUGUUUUCAUCUUUAAAAUUAUUUCUACCCUAGAAAAUCAUUUUUUAAAUGUUUACGUCAGCACUGCCGACAGUCUUCAUUUGCGUUGUAUUUGGAUGCGGGUGUGGAGGGGAAAUGUUUGGUUAGGGGUAAAAUUGUAAAGAAGAUUAAGCGGGGUUUAAAGAGGAAGUUGGAGGUGUGCUAGUAGCACCAAAUUCUCUAGCCUACGUCCAAGUUCAACCAUUAGCAGGGUCAAAGAGCAAAUGGGCAUAUCAUGUCACUGGCUUGUUCUUUUUUUUUUUUUGGAUGAGCAUUAUCACUAUUAUUACUUCAUCUUGAGUCAAUUUAUCUUUUAUUUUAUUUAUGCGAGAAUAGUCUAACAUCAAGUACAUGCUGUGACGGUGUUUCCGAGUGAUUUUCAAACAGUUAUUUAAUUUAUUACUUGAAUUUAAUUUUUUGGAGAAAUAGAAGUUUGGAUACUACCUUUUAAAAUUUAAUGCAUAUUAAAAAUAUGAGACUAUUUGAACCCACCGAGUUUCUCUCUAAACCCUCUUUUUAAUUAAGCCUUUUAUUAAAAAUUAUUUAAUUAAUCUUUCUUCUUUUUCUCUUCUCAAUUUCACAAAUUCUCAUCAAUUCAUUUAGAUAUAUUAUUUUAGUUGCAAUAAUUAGUAUCACUAAGAGAAACUGAACAACCAUUUAAAAAUAAAUGUCAACAAAUUUUUAUCAACCUUGCAAGUUUUUAAAUAUCAAGAAAUUAAUUUUUACCAAAUACCAAAGCUAAUGAAUAUCAAGAACAAAAAACUCUUAUAAAAGAACAAAAAAUAGAGAUCAUGAUAUAUUAAGAAAGGCCAAAAAAAUGAAUUCAAGAGAUAGUAAAAUUAAGUGUUUACUUCACAGAAUGUGAGAGUAGAGAGAGAAUAUGUAAUUAUAAGGUAGAGAAAGAAAGUGAUUAGUGAAUAGUAAUUAUUAGAUUUUUAGAUUUUAAAUUUAAUAAUGAGUUUAUUUUUUAAAAUGGCUUUAGAGAGAAAUUUAGCGGGUUUGAAUAGGUAGCCUCACCUUAUAAAAAAAAAAAAUCUAUGUGGUGCACUGCUAGUUAUCUACUCCUUUUUUUUUGUCUUUUUCUAGUUCAAUUACUUACAUUGUAAUCCUUAUUGUUUUCUAUAAAAAAAAAAAACUCAACAGUUUCAAAAUUUUUAUACAUGAAUCCUUCUUUAUGUCAAUCUACUUUUCUAUAUCAACACAAAAACUAUAUUUCCACAUAAACCAAUAAAGUUAUAUUUAGAUGUCGAAUAAAAGGUAGGAUUAGAUUAAUUUGGAAGAUAAAAAUAUUAGCCCAAUCCAGAAUCAUGUUCAUUGUCAGGAUUAACAAACUUGUCCAAAUUUUAGCCCAACAUUUAUAGGAUUAUUAAUCUCCAUCACAUAGAUUUAGAUAAGAUUAGAUAUCUUCUAAUCUAAAUUUGUUACUGAUAUUAAAAUUUUAUUCAAUAAUUUACCUUAAACUUCUUUUAAAUUUAAGAUGAAAUCAAAAAUUUAUUUCAACAAUUUAUUUUAACUAGAUUGUAAUAUGUUAAAGAUAAAAAAUUAUUCAAUUAUUCAAUUACAGUAAUAUCAAAAAGUUUAAAUAUUACAUUUAACAACUAAUAAUAUACUUUAGAAAUAAAAAAUUAUUUAAAUUAUUAUUUUAACUUCACUAAAUUAAAUUUAAUAUGAUUUUAUCCGAAACUGUAUUAAACAAAAGAUAAUACUAUAUAAUUCAAUAUAAUUUUAAGAAUUAAUCCAAUACAAUCCACUCUUUAAAAUUUUACUUUUAUUUUCGCAUUUAUAUUUUCAACCCCUUAAUAUUAUUCUAUUGAUAAAUUGAAAAAUCAAGAUUUUCUCAAUAUUUGAUCUUCUCUUUAUUAAAUACAAGGUGAUUUAUCCUUAAUUAAAUAUAUUUAUUAAUUCAUACCGAACACAAGAUAUUUAAAAGAAAGGUAAUUUUUAAAAAUCUCCGCUGAAGUUUGGGGUAUUCUUAUUUUGAUAGAAUGUAAUGGCAUAUUUUCAUAAACCUUCCCUCGUGAGUAUUUUAUUUUCUAUAAAUUAAGCUGACGAGGGUAAGAUCGUAAUUGAAUAAGUUAAUAACAAAAAAGUUCAAACAAAUUUAAUAUUUUCACCUUGGGCUUUGAAAUUGGUUUGAACUUUGUUAAUAUCCAUAGAGAAAUAGACUGAAACAUGCUUUUACACUCCGUACAAUGAAACGUGCUUUUGCUCAACAUAUAUUUAAUACAAAAUGAAAAAAUCUCAUCUCUUUCCUCUACCAAAUCCGAAGCAACCAAGCUCAAACUCCAUUUCAUUUCUCUCUUAUACUUUCAUCAAGUAUUUUGCCCAUAAAUUGAGGACAAUGGUGGAGCUUAUGACUCCAAUAUGGGCGAUGAACGAUUCAUGGCUGCGAGGUGAGAGAGUACCGACCAAUGAGUUUCUUUGGUUAUCGGUUAAUAUCCUGCUUCUUCCGAGCCACGAAUGAGGUAUGUAUCAAAGAACUUUCAGUGCAUGUUAUUUUUUGCUUGCUUUGUUGAUGAGUUGAGUAAAAAUAUGAAAAUGGCUCUUCAAAAAUUGAUUGAAAAUGUGGCUGAUACUUCUUAUUCUUUUCAUAAAUUAAUGUUAGUUGUAGUGAAUAGAGUAACCCAAAUGCAUGUUGACCGGUUCACCAGUUCCACCAACUAGACGCUUAGAGUGAUUCAGUCGAUACAAAGGUGCGCUUGAAGUUUGUAAUUAGUAUUGUAUAAAAGAAAAUGCUUGAAUCCUUCCAUGGAUAGCUUUCUUGUGUUUGACAUGCCUUGAUUGAAUUUAUAAGCACUAGGAAUAAAUGUAAUAUUUAUGGGCAUUAGAUAUUUUGUAUUAUUGAGAUUUUGUAAUUUUAGAAAAUCUAAGAUUUUGUUCAUGUAUGUUGUGAUUUUCCUUAAAAGUUUUAAGAUUGUACGUGUAUGUUAUGCUACAGCAUGUUAAUACAAAAUUCAUUUGAAAGAUUAUCUUCAUCAACUAUGUUUUGUAGUUUUAAACGGUUGCCAACCAUUUUGUGUCGGGUCAAUGUGUUUAAUCUUUAAGAUUCACAUAAAUGCUUUGUUUUGGAUGCUUAUCAAUUUUAAUUUCAUCAAUAGAAAGUGUCAAUAAUGAAGCUGCAGGAUAGGACUUGAUAUUAGCUUACAUUGAAAUGAUAAAGUAAUGGAUCCAUAAUGUUAAAAGAAGAAAAACAAGACAGAAAUUUUGUGAUAGAUCAACUACAACGACUUGGCGGUUGGCAAUAACUUGUUAUUUUUGUUAUAAACAAAAUCUUAUAUUUGUUAUACAUGGUCUCUUUGCAUUAAAUGUCUACAAAAUGUUGUUAGAUUGAACAGAAAUAUAAGUUGCCACUGCUGUUGAAAUCAAGUAUAUAGUAGUAUGUUUUGCAACAUGACAGUGUUUGACAAUUAGAACCAUAAUUGUUUGAAUCUACUUAUGUUUGUGUUUACAUUAUCUUCGUGACUUAUAUAUUCACAAUAAGUUGUAUACUAAUACGAUGUUUUUAUUAAUAAAGGGAAAUUAACCCAAGCCUAAAGAGAUAGUCGAUAGUGAAUUCGGUAGCAGUUGCUUUGGCAGCAAGAGUGUUCAUUAAGUAGUAGCACCAAAGUCCAAACUAAUCCCUUACGGCAUAUUUUGAAAUGAUCAGAUGAUACCUCACAUUUCUUAUGUAAGCCCUAAAUUGUAGAGAUGUUGCAUCAUCUUUUACUUGGUUUUAUUGAGGUUUUUGUAUAUUAUACUUAGAAACUCACUCCAGUGACAAGGUUAGUCUUGCCUUUGUUAGUAGUUAUCUUAGUAAACUGUUAUUAGUUGCUCACAUGUAAAUAUGGACUACUGUUGAGUUGUAAGGCUAAUUGGAUGACAACCACUGAUGACUGACUACAUUAAUAUCGCUGUUGGAAUUUGUUUAUAUGUACCACAUGGCUGAGCUAUGUUUCUACAUUUAAGUGCUUGCAUUUACCUAUAUGGAUUAUAUCGCGGCUGAAAUUCUUUUAAAUACAUCACAUGGUUGAGGCAUGUUUUUAUACUUCAAUGGAUGUAUUUGUAUUUAUGUCUAUAUUGAUGUUGAGAUUCUUUUAUAUAUAUCACAUUCAAGGGAUUAGGAAAUUGUUGUUGAUUGAUUGAUUUUAUAAUUAUUGCAUUAAUCUUCUUAACUGUUUGUGUCUUGAUUCUAACUUGCCAAAGUGAUUUUGCUAUUGAAUAUGGUAUUCUAAAAUUUUUUAUUUAGGCUUACAUAUGCAUAUUACUUGGAAAACACUAUUACAUUAAAUAUAUAAAACAAUAGAUUUAGGGACAUAUUACGUAAGGGUCAUAAAAUGUAUUUGAUUAGCUUGAUGUGCUUAAGCUUUAGGCACACAUUGGCGUGCAUAAGUGUUCCAACUUUGUAUAAUGAUUGGAAAGUGGUGAGAUUUGAAUGAUUUUUGAAGAGUUUGUAGAUGCAUGGUUGAUAUGGAGGUAUGAGAGAAUAUUGGCAGUGAUGUUUUGAUUAUGUUGAAGGAAGAAGAAAGCUUUAGUUAUGAGAAGCAGAAGCUUUGUUGUUGUUGAGCUUGGCAAUGGCUAAUUAUAUAGACAACCAACAUAAAUAUUGGCAGCAACAAUUAUAAUUUCUAAAUUUAUUUUUAAUUUUUUAUCCUAAUUCAGCUAAGUUAUUUUGGGAAUGGAUGAGGAUGAUUUGAUAACUUUAUUGUAUUUGUAGCUGUUGGCGCCAAAGCAAAUAUAAUGCUAUUAACCAACAAUACACUGUUCUGAACAUGAAAAACUUGUUUUUCUUAAGUCAAGGGUAUUUUAGUCAUUCUGUCAGUCAACAAACAGUCUAAAGAUAGAAAUAGGAACGCAAGGGGAGGUUUGUGAGAAUAUGUGAAUACAUUCUAUUAAAGUUAGAAUAUCCCAAACUUCAGGGGAGAUUUCUAAAAAUUAUCCUUCAAUUAUAAGAUCUUGCAAACAGUGAAGUUAAAAUUACUUUGAUUCUACUCUUCUAUUUUGUUUAUCCAAUGAGUUGUCUAUUUUUGGGGUUUCCCCAUGAUUUUUGUUUUGUUUAUUUUUGAAAUUAUCAGAAAAAAAAGAUGCUAUAGUCAGCAAUGUUUGGGCUCACAUGAACAUGAUGUUUUAUGUUAUGGCUAUCACUAUAAUGCUUUGUUAUCAUUGUUAUUAUUAUUUGAUUUGCAUAAAACAAAAAAAUUAAAAACGUGCAAUUAAGAGUAAUUAUAAACUUUUAAUUAAGAGUUGAAUUAUAAUAUUUGAUCUAUAUCAAUAUAUGACCAUAUAUCAAAUAUCAAAAUAGAGUUAAGAUUUAUAAUAUUUGGAUACGAUUAUAUGAAUUUGAAAAAAAAAAUUGUCUAUUUUUUUUACAAAUUAUUUUAUUUUAUUAUAAAUUUUGAAGUCGGUCGAAUGUGGAAAUUUACUUCAUCAAUUAAUUUAAAAAGGUACUAUAUAUAUGACAUGGUUGGUAAAUGUUAAUAUAAUGGGUGGGUAUGACCAAUAACUAUGCAUUUAUUUUAAUUAAAGUAAUAUGGAUAAAUUUAUUAAGAGUAGUUGUCAAUUUGUCAUCAUCACAGCCAUCACAUGAAGUCGUGGCACAAGAAAUUUUAUUUUUUUAAAAUGAAAAAUUAAUCACACUGAUUAACAAAUAAUUAUGAUGGAUGUAUCAUGAUUAACUAUGGCCAAUGGGCCGUGCCGGCAGCCCACAAGGGCUCGUGGGCCGGCACGGCCCACUAAAUUGGUGGGCCGUGCCGUGCCGUGCCUACAUUUUUUUCAAUUGAGCCCGGCACGGCCCACGGCACGAGCGGGCUCGUGCCGUGCCCAAAAAAAGCCCACCAAUUUUUUUUUUUUUUAGCGUGCUUAAAAAAACCCACGUGCCUAGCGUGCUUUAUUCAAGCCCACAUGCCUGACGUGCUUUUUUAAGCCCACCAACAUAAUAAUAAUAAUUAUAAUAAUAAUAUUCACAAUCAUAAUCAUAUUAAUUUUUAUUAAGAGAGCAAUUAACAUUUUAUUAUUAGUUUAUCACAAUUUCACAACUAUAUAUUUUAUUUCACAAUAAUCAAUCAUAAUUCAUAACACAACAAUACAUAAAUUUAAUUCCAUAGAUCAUAAUAAUAAUUAAUUAAAAUUAAAAAUACAAUCCUCGAAUAAUCAUUACAAUAAGUCAUAACUACGAAAUAUUAAUAUAACAAAUCAUUUAUUUAAACUAAGAUUUAAUGAUUUAAAUUAAUUUUUAAAAGUCUAUGCUAAAAAAUAUAUUAAAACAUUUAAUUUCAUAACAUUUUAUAUUUACUUUUUGUUAAAAAAAUUUACUUAGAUAUAUUUUGGCCCACGUGCUAUUAAUGGCUCACGGGCCGCGUGCUAGCCCACUAAUGAACCGUGCUUAUUACGUGCUUUUUCGCGUGCCGUGCUUUGGCCCAUCUCUAAUCGUGCCGUGCUUUAAGGCCCGCGUGCUUAAAAUUCUAGGCCCGGCACGGCCCACGUGCGUGCCGUGCCGUGCCUCGUGCCUCACUGAAACGUGCUCAUGCCGUGCAGUGCCGUACGGACACGUGCCGUGCCCGUGCCGUGCCACGUGCCGCCCGGCCCAUUGGCCACCUUUAAUCAUGAUUAGGGGUCGGCAAAAUCGGGUUUGGGUCGGGUUCGGGUCAACCUGAUCGGGUUUCGGGUUAGACAAUAAUUAAUCCGAACUUAACCCGAAUUAGUGACCCAAUCUGAUCCGACCCGAAUUAUCAGGUCACUAAUUCAGGUUAAGUUCGGGUUGGGUCGGGUUGGGUUUAAAUAACUAAUAAUUUAGCAUAUAUAACUAUUAAACUAUAUAUAUAUACCAUGAAAUAUUGAAUUUGAAAUUAUGAAACUUCAAAUCUUCAAAAACGAGUUCGAGUCACAAAGCCACAGCACAAAGGAGAAAGUUCGGGGUCGGGUCGGGUUGGAGGCUUCAGCCACGGCAGCAGAUGGCAGUAGCUCACGGCAGCAAAUCGCGGCAACAGAUGGCAGCAGAUCGUGGCAGCAAAUCACCUGUUGGGUGUCGGUUUCGGCAGCAGAUUGAAGAGGGUUCAGAGUCAGACUUCAAGUCUUUGGUUUCGGCAUCACUCACAACAGAUUGGUUCUGUUCUGUGUGUUGUUUGUGUGUUUCAUAGUGUAUGACUAUGUGUGAAUUGUUGUGAGUACUUGUGAGUUGUCAGCUGUGAGGGUUUGCCCUUUGCCGUCUGCCUCGGGUGUGCAGUGUUCGUGUGUAUUGUGUAAUGUGUAAACUGUAAACUGUAAAGUAAAGCGUAAAGUGUAAUGUGUGAGUGAGUUUUUUUUUUUUUUUGGGAGACCCGAUCGGGUAUUCGGAUCAGGUCGGGUUUAAACCAACCCGAUCACAGCCCGAUUGGGUUAGCACUUUCUCAUCUGAUCGGGUUGCCAUAGCAAUCCGAUUCGACCCGAACCCGACCUUUUUUAGGUCGGGUCGGAUUGGAUUUGGUAUUUUGCCCACCUCUAAUCAUGAUGGACUUCAUAAAUAAAAUAAAAGAAUUCGUCAUACUUUUUUAAAGACUUGCAAUUUAUGAAUACAAAUGGGCCUCUAGCAACUGGUUAGGGUUCAAUUUGGGCCUUUGAUCAUAACAAAUAAACAAUACAAAAACUCAUAUUUUCAGUACUAUAGACUAUACUUAUCUCCAUAAGCAUGCAUUUAAUUUCACAAAUUAUUUUCAAUUAUUUUUGUUAUUAUUUAGUUAUUUUUUAAGUAGAGUUUUUAAAAAUUAAAUAAGUUAUUUUAUCUCUGCCACUAAAAACUCAAAUUUUAUACUUUUAAAAGUAGUGGUUGAAAUUUUUUUUAAAAUAUUAAAACAUCUAAAAUAUCCUUUACUUAUUUACUUAUUUUAUUUUUUAUUUUUAAAACAUAACUUAAAAAAACUUACCUAUCAAAGUAAUUUUUUUUAAAAUUUUCAAUUAAAACUCUCAUGGACCACCAAAUAACUAAUUUUCUUUAAUAAAUCUCCAUUUAUAAAAGUUCUUUUAACAAAAACUAUACUUAAAUAAGUUUUCUUUAAAACAUUAUACCAAACAAUGCCUUUGCACUAUAUAAAAAAAUAAAAUAAAAAAUAUCCUAAUUGUUGCAAGAUUUUUAUCUCGAUAACUCCAUCACAAUAAAAUUCGUGAGUGCUCUAAUUGUCCUCUGAUGUUUUAUGGUCAUGAGUUUUGUGUUGUGCCACUUAUUCAUUUCAUUAAUAAUAAAAGAAAAUGGUUUGAGACUUUGAGUAUUUACAAAAAAAAAAUAAAAUAAAAGGGGUUGAAUCUCCCACAAAUUUAAAAUAAAAUUGCACCUAAUUUAAUUUGAGUAAUGCAGCACUUAUAUUUUUUAGAAGUUUUGCGGUUGAAUUAUGAAAUUACAAGAAUUUUAUUUUUUUUGUUAAUUUAAUUUAUAAUUAGUGGACUAAUUCAUUUUUAAUAUAUUAGAUUAGUAAAAUACAAAAAAAUUUAGUUGAUUAAAUUAUAUAUUUAUUAAAUUAUAGGUAAACUUAUAAUUUAUUAAAUUAUUAAUUUAUCGAUUAAUUAAUAUAUGUUUAAAUUAAUAAAUUUUAUAUGAUGCACACGUUAUUAAUUUAUAAACAAUUGAUUGUACUUUGAAUUCUUUGUUUCCAAACUAAACCUUUAGGCAGACAAAACUAUUUUUACUGCAACGGUAUGCAAGGACGCGAAGGAUCUGCGUCAGCACAGCCUUUCGGUCGCCGUUGAUUUUACAUACUACAACAAAGUCAGCUUUCAUCAGCCACCAUCAAACCCACAUCAACUUCGAUCACUUCCCAGUAAUUGAUGAUUUUUCUUCAUGUUAUUUCUUAAUUCCUAUAAUUUUUAGAAUCCUUAAACCCUUGAAGUAGUUGAAUACAGAAACGGAGGAUGUCAGUGUCGUUUUCAAAAUUUCCAGCACCAUUCCCGGUUAGUUUUCUAUACAUGGGAUUGUCUAUUUAUUUCUUUAUUUUUGUUUUUAAUUGAAAAAAGUUUUGUUUGUUUGAUGACUUUUGUUGAAACUGUAUGUGGGUUGUUUGGUUUCUAGAAAAUGAUGAUAGGAAACUAUAAUUUGUAGAUGAUCUUAAAGAACUGUAUUGCAUGAAAUUAAUAAUGUGUAUUUAAUUUUCAAUCUGGCAUAAUUCUUUGGAUUGAAAAUGAAAGGAUAUACGAAUCUUGAUUAAGUGCAUUUCAUUGGGAUUUUUCAGCAAUUAAAAUUGGAUUUUGCUUCUUCCAAUGAGUUUUGCGUCCAAUUACAUAUUGAAACACUUCAAUUUGUGUCAUAGUAUCUGAAAGCACCUCACGAGUGCUAUUGUUAUAUGUAUUGGCAUUUUCAGUUUUGUUACUGUUAUUACAUGGGAAAACUUGGUACCUUGCUUCACUAAUUUGUCGGGUAGCAGUAGUUGCAUCUUUGGCAUGAUAGAGCCUUAUAAAUGGGGAGUACAACCAUAUUUGCUAAAUUUCGAGUAUAAUAGAGUCGUACACUAGUUAUGCUAAGGCACAAUUGUCUUGCUUUUGUUGUAUCUAGGCAACAGGAAAAAAUAUUCACACAGUAACCAGUGAUCGUUUUGUGCUCUAUGGAGGUUCUGCCACUAUAUGCCAAAGGUUUUGUGGCUUAAAGCUAUGGUUACUUGACAGACUGAAACUUAAGCAUUGCAGUAAAAAGCAUGGACUAAGUGAGUCCAAGAUUAUAAAGAAUCAAGAUAAGUUAGAUAGUCAUCUAGAAACUAGUUCAUCAAAUGAUGGACGAGAUUCUGAAGGAGUUUCAACAUUUUCUGUACCUAAUGGUCAGUAAAGACUAUUCUAAGUUAACCUUUUUAUUUUUGUCAUUUGUUAUGUCUAUCAAUGUGAAUUGAUCUUGGUAUAUUCAUUUUCUCAUACUUUUCAAUUGGAAACUUACAAUCUCUAGAUUGUGGAACUUAAUUUUCCAUUGUAGUUACGAAAAGACCAACUUCAAAAUUACAAGCACAUUCCCCAAAUUUUCCUGUUCAGAGCGAUCAAGCACCUUCACUUUGCAUUGCUGUAAUAGGAGCCACCGGUGAGCUAGCAAGAAGGAAGAUAUUCCCAGCAUUAUUUGCUCUCUAUUACAGUGGCUUUCUUCCGGAGGUAGUACCACAAUUUCUUUAUCUUGAAAGGCCUCUUUGCCUUUUAUCUAGAGGUGCUACAGCUAGAGUCUUCUUUUUUCACCAAGCCUGUUGUUUUCAUUGUUGCAGUUACUAUGUAUUUACUUUUCUGAAUCAUUCUUCCAAUUAUGAUGUUAUGCGCAUCAAAACAUAUUCGACUUGCUUAUACUAUGGCAAGGAAAAUGGGAUGUUCCAAUAAAUUGAAUGAAAGAUAUUGUUCUCAUCAAUAUUUUACAAUUUUCCAAACUUGUUCUAAAAAUUUUUGGUGAAUUUUUGCUUUUUAUUAUUUUUAUCAUUUCUUCCUGCAGAAUGUGGGAAUCGUUGGUUAUUCAAGAAAGAAUUUGACAGAUGAAGACUUGAGGUCCAUCAUAGCUUCAACUUUGACUUGCCGCAUUGAUCAUCGGUAUGGUUCUCAUACAGUCAUACAAAUUCUCUUUCCUACCAUUCAGUUUCUUAUUCUAAAUCCUUGAGUGAGUCAAAUUACUGCCCCUUAUAAUUUUCGAAUGCAACGUGCACAAAUGCUAGAAGUUGCCUGAAUGAUCGAAAUCCAUGGUUGGCAGCUAUUUAUAUGCUGAUUGGGUUUCAUCAAUUUACAACCUUAGGAUCCUUUUGGCUACAUUCGCCAAAGUUUUCAAAGAGAAGGAAAAAAAAAAAGGAGGGGGUGGGUUAGCUUCAUGUCACAUUCUGUUAGCUAGUUGCUAGGGUGGGAUUUCUAUUGAUUUAAAGGAAUUAUUAGUGUGUUUUGAAGGACCCUCUCAAGUAAAUCAACAUGCAACCAUUGUUUAUGGAAAGGGCUUUGCAUCUAUGCAAGCAUUAGACUUUUGAAAAUGUGUUAAGUUGAAAUAAAUGCAACCAAGGCUCAUGAUGUAGUCUUUCAAGUUAGUUUGAUUGCUAUAAAAUUAGAAUAGAAUGAAUUGAAGAAGUUUAAUGUGGCAUUUGUUCCUCAUGAUUUUAACAUCUUUUCAGGGAAAACUGUGGGGACAAAAUUGAUGCCUUUCUCAGUAGAACAUAUUAUCUUAAUGGUGGUUAUGACAACCGAGAAGGGAUGUUAAAGCUCAGCGCUUUGAUGGAGCAUAUCGAGGUGAGGUUGAUAAAAUCACAAAUCGGUGCUGUUUACAAGUAUCUAGCUUUAUCAUGCUUCCUGUUUUAUGCAACUUUAUGGUAUUACUUGGAGCCUAAAAAAAGAAAAAAAGAAAAAAUAUCAUAAUGAAACUAUUUGGCAUGAUCUUAAAAUUAUGGGCAUCAAAUUGUUGGGCUAUUAGCCGCUUACCUAAUAACUUAAGUUUUGUGCGUCUGAUUUAUCUUACAGUACCUGAUGAAAAAUUAAUGUUUCUUCUAUCUUUUCAAUCAUAAUUAUAAAAGAUCAACUUAUGUGCUUUCUUUUACCUCUAAAGAUUUGUUAAAAACAGAGGAGAAAAAUAUAUAUUAAUAGUAGUAAUGUGUGAUAGUUUAUACUAUUCAGUUCAUAUUCAUAUCUUAGAGAGCAAAUCACCCUACUCCAUUCUUGCAUGAUAGUUUUAUUUGUUGUAUCGUUAGUUGUUACAAAAUAAUACAUAAAUCUGGAAAUAUAAUCUGGCAAUACUUAUUAAUUAUACACUUAUUUGUAAUUAUUAUUGAACAACUUUAUAGUACGGAUUGUGUAAAGGUUGGUUUUCUGGAUUCAAUUCCUAAAAGAUAAUAGAUAAUAUAUUUUUCAUCAUUAAAAACACUUCUCAAUUAUUACAUUGUUAAAACAAGGAACAAGAAAGAAACUACAAUGAAGGUAGUAAAUGAGAUAAUGUCGUAAGACUCAAUUCACUUGUGUACAUUCUAGUUUAACCACACCAACUUUCUUUCUGUAUAAUUAAUAUUUCAUACUUUAAAAGUCAACUCUUUUUUGUCCCUUCUUUUCUCAAAUUCCUUAAACUAAAAGUUAAAACAUUUCUUCACUCUUAUAGACUGAGAGUAAUUAGCCAGAAGUAAAAUCAAUAGGGGUUGAUUUGAUUUGUCAAUGUUCAAGCUGGAUGCUUUAGAUAAUUGAUUUUUUAGCAGCUUACCUACCUCAGGGGGGAUUUGAAGCAAACAGGAUAUUUUACCUAUCUGUGCCGCAAGAAGCACUUCUGGAUGUUGCAUCCACUCUUGCCAUCAGUGCCCAAACCCAGAAGGGCUGGAACCGUAUAAUAAUUGAGAAACCUUUUGGGUUUGAUGCACUGUCCUCUCAUUGGCUGACAAAAGCUCUUCUUUCCAAGUUCCAGGAGAAGCAACU
rnacentral:lncRNA from 1 species